rnacentral:lncRNA from 1 species
AGAUAAGGCCAAGGAGGCAACGUCCAUUACAGUAAAAACAUAGAAAAGUGGUGACUUAAGGAAAUGGGGAAACCCCUUAUCAUUGUUACCUCCAGGUAUGGUGAAGGCAGCUGUAAAGACGACGGUUGCGAUUAGGAUUGCCAGCACGGAGCAUGCCUGAGAGGUUUCUUUGAUCCAUUCUUGUGCUUUCCUAAGUUGAUCUUCAUGUGUUAGAUUAAAGAGGUCACUUGCAGUCAUCUUAUUUUUUUCGUCGCGGUGCAUAGCAUAAUGGCGAGGCAUUAUCUCUUUUACAUGCUGCAUACACACACACACACGUUAAAUAGGGAGGGAGGCCUAUACACAUAGCCACAUGUGUAGUCAUUAUCUCUGUAGCAUUUUAAAAUAUAGAUUCAAGGUUUUACUCAAUUGUAAAAAACUUCUAAGAGGGUUGUAAAAGGUUUUACACAAUUAAAGAAAAAAAAAAGUGUUUUAUAAAAUAAUGAAAUGGUGAAUCACCUGAGAAUGAAUAUACAUAUACAUACAUAUAUACGUAUAUAUAGAGAGAGAGAGAGUGAGUGAGAGAGAGGGGGAAGGGGAUAGAGAGAGGGAGAGAGUACUAAUUUAGUCCAAGAUUGUGUACUUUAUUAAAGUUUAAGAAAACUAUUAAACCACAUAGUAUAUAUAGGGGGAGAGAGCGAGCAACGAGCGAUUAUUUAAUAACAGAUCUCUUAAGUUAUUAAAGUAAAGAAUAAAUUAAAAGACAAGUAAAAGUGCAGUGUAUUUUAUCUAGUAAUAUAUAUUGAUGUAUGUGUUUUUCUUGUUUUUUAACUUGUCCCUUAUUUUGGUAAGUUAAGGAGAUCCUUCAAUGGAAAAAAAUUAUUUUACAUAUAUGAAGAUACUCAAAUAUGGUGUCUACACAAAUUUUUUGUGUGGAUUUUAGGUUUUAUAACCGUUUGAAAGCCUUUCACAUUAUUUCAAAAAUAUUUUACACUGUUCUAAAAUCCUAUAUCUGCAUGAAAAUUCAUGUGCACAUAAGUUAUAUGUAUAUAUAACUGAAUAAAUUACAUUUUGUGGGACAAAAUUAAAUAUUAUCGAAGGGCUUACCUCGAACAAUUGUAACUCCUCCUGAAAUUGGAGAACAGGGCCAGGGCGGGUUCCUUCUUUAUAAUGUUUCAUGUCUGCGACAUGGUGCAGUAAUGUGUAGCCUUUCUUGUCAAUUCUUGAAGCCCAUUUGGGCACAGACAGUUGCAUUUCCUUCGUGAUGAGUUCAAAGACCUUAUAUUGACGACGCUUUACGGCCACAUGUAAUAUAUUCUGCUCUUUCUCAUUCAAGUUAUCUAACAAUAUUGCUUGAGGAUGUUGAUGGAUUAUCUCCUUCAAAAUCUCUGUUAUUCCAUUGCUUGCUGCAAAGAGUAGCGUCAACCUGAUUGCCCAAUUCUUAUCCUUUUUAUGAUUAGGAACUCCUUUGAUAGUGCAAUCUUUCUUCACAAACAAUUCGACCAAUUCUGCAGCUGAAAAAUCAACAAAUUUUUUUGCCUUGAUCAUAUUUCCUUUGUUAGUGCAAUCUUUCUUCAGCAGCAAUUCGUCCAAUUCUCCAGCUGAAAAAUCAACAAGUUUUUUUGCCUUGAGCAUAUUUCCUUUGCCUAAUCCUAAGGAAAUUGUGGAAAUAUUAGCUGGCGAAGUUGUGGAACUUUCUGGGUCCGGCGAGAAAAUUUCUGGGUUCGGCAAGGAACUUGUGGAACUUUCGGGGUUCGACGAGGAAAUUUCUGGGUUCGGCAAGGAAGUUGAGGAACUUUCUGGGCUCGGCAAGGAAAUUUCUGGGUUCUGCUCUCCAUCCCCAAGACAAAGGGUUUCUUCUUUAACCAGCUUUUUGAGCAGUUUAUUCACAUUUUUAUGCAUUUGCUUUUUCAUCCAGAUUUUCUUUAUCGCCGGACGUCCUGGUCAUGCAUGCAUCAACACCUUGUUAAUUUAUAAACAAUUUCGCACGCAAGUGCGGCAAAUCCAUUCAUCAACUGAAUGAAUUGCUCAAGUUAUGUUACAUUUCCCCUGUUCUGCUGCGUAAUUCAUAAAUGUAGAAGUAAUUAAUGAAAUUAUUAUUGGUCGCACCUUCAAUCACUUGCCUCCAAAUGCCAAUGUACAUCUUCCAAAUUGGAAUUCCUGCAUUUUGAUUAACUGCUCAGGCGCAAUUUUAUAACUAUAUGUGUAUUUAUACGAUAUGAAAAAUUAAUGCCACCACAUCAAAAAGGAAACCGCUCCCUAUAAUAAAAUACUGUGUGUCUGGACAAAAAUGGCAUGCAGGCACCACCCUUCUAGAAGGUGGGCUUGCUCAUUUUGAAAAAGGAGGCGCUGAUUCCUUCUUUGACUCGAAUAAAUGAAAAAAAAGAAGGAAAAAAAAGAGUGAUGCGGCACCGCAUAGAUUAAAAGAAAAAAAUAAUAAAAUAAUAAAAUCAUCCAAUUCUUCUCUUCUUCUUUAGAUCCAUUUUGAGACGAGAAAAAGCCGGUGAGAGUUGAGUGAUUAGUGAGUGAGAGAUUGGGUAUAUUGAGAUUCUAGGUAGUGAGCCAAAAUAUUAUAAUAUUUGUAAUCUUAAUUUCACUAGUAAAAUAUUUUCUUUAUAUCUUCGCCCAUGGACGUAAGUUAAAAGCCAAAUCAUGUAAAUUUUGGUGUUCUUAUGUGAUUCUGUUGUCUUAUGAUUUCUCAAUUUUACUUUAGUUGCUUGUAUGCUUCACCAAUCAAUUUCCAAUAUGUCUUUGUAUGAAUUGGUAGUUAAUCUUUGUAUCAAUUGGUAGUUAAGGUCCUCAUCAUGAGAAUUUGUACAAGUCCAUAGAAAUUAAAGAAAAAAGGAACUUCAUCUUUUCCCCGUACUAUUUAAGGUAUUUCACACUUCCCGCCUUAGUAUUUUCAAAAUUGGCAUACUGUUAUUGCGUCUAGAGGAUUCCACUUCACUGUGAUGAUUCUUCAUCUAUAUCUAGUUUAUUUUUGAGUUACCAAAAAAAACAAAGGGAAAAAAUCGACGUCUAAAAGAAAACUAGCUUUUAUAUUAUAUUAUUUAUUGUUUAUUUAGGUCUCAAAACUAAUAUUCUGUUUGGCUUCUAAGAGACAAUUGCUCUAAAAUGAAAGUUUUAGUUAUUAAUGGAAAAUUCGUGGGUAUUUGGUAAAGCUAAACCACUAGAUGUCAUAAAAGUUCUUUUUUUAUUCUCAUUUUUGGAGUAAACUUAUCAAUAAAUAAUUGUGAAAAAUAAUCAAUUUAAAAGGCAAACUGAGAAAGUGUUUACAGCUGAGUCGUCAAAAAGAUAGCCAAAACAAAUAUUAUGACUUGUAACCGCAGCUAAAGCUGUUAGUUCGGAUUUUCAUUUUUUAAUUUAAAGAGUUAUAAUGAUUAAUGAAACCACUAUAUUAUGAUUAUGAACAAAUUAAAGCUGCCUCAACACUACCUCUCGUCCGCUUUCUGCAGGCGACGCAAUUGUCAAUUUUACCAGUUUCCAAAUCUUCUUUGUAAUUGUAGUCAACGCAAUCGUCAUCAUCAUACGUUGGAAGACCUGCAAUUAGAAAUUGCAAUUGUAACGGCAUGCACCGAAGUCAACUGGACUAUAUAUCCCCUUAGAGAUGGAACUAUAUAUAUGUGUAUAUAUAAUUACUAUAUAAAAAAUGCUAAAGAAAUUGAAGGCUGCUAGAAUGUUGACAGGGAUAACGGUAUAUCAAGUCGGGCUUACUACAUGGUAAUCUCGGCCAACACAGUAACCCCGAACGGAUGUAUUUACACUUCAUUAAUCAGCUUUAAUCUCUUUCAUAUGGUUUUUGUAUCCACGAAAGCAAGAAAUAAAUGCAUAUAUUCACGUACAAGAAGAGACAAGACUGGUCCAUAUCUCCGCGGUCUUCGAAUAACUCUUGAAAGCAGAUGGCAUUAGAGCUAGUAGUUGAAGACAUGUCAAGCCAUCAGGCCCCUCGGACGUUAGUUUGUUCACAAGGCUUGAGUGGUGUUUAAGUAACCAAAUAGCAGUGUCUGUACGUAUUCAUGCAAGCAGAUUCAUUAAUUAGUUAAUUAAGAAGACAACUAAUAAAUUUUUAAACUUUAAUUUAACUCUUUUUUUUUUUAACAUAACCCAAAACCACCUAAAAUAGAUGUAAAUAAAAUUUAAUUUAACUAUUGAUCUAUAUAUGAAUGAAUGAAAGAGAGAUUUAAUUACUAUAUUUUACCGAAGUGUUGGCCAAGGACAGCCAUAUGAAGAACGGUCUUGCCAUCAUUUCUACGGAAAUGAUGACGUAAGUCACCAACUUGCUCAGUCCAGAUUUGCAACAGUUUAGUUUUCCCAAGAGCAGCAGCCCUGUAAACUGGGGUUUCCCCCAAACCGUUUUUAGCCUCAAGCAGAUUUUUGUACGCAUCACCAGACUGUCUGGAAAAGUCAAUCAAAAUCCUGGCCACGUCAAAAUUUUCGACGACGGCCGCUUCGUGAAGACCAUUGUUUCCAAACGCAUCUGUUUGCUUCAAGACUUCAAGUCUGGUCUCCGAUGUUAGACUUUCGAGAAAUUCCUGGAUCAGCUGAGGGUCUUCCAUGGCCGCUGCAAUGUGAAUUGCUCUGUCCCCGUUGACUGUCCUGUAAUCCAACAAGUCUUUAGCAGUUCGUUGAGCAAAGUACUGCAAGAAGCCUCGACAGUCUCCCUUCAAGGCCAUUCCAUAAGGAUCCAUUUUUCUCUCUCUCUCUCUCUCUCUCUCUCACUCACUCACGCUAUUGUAUUGAAUAUAUAUAGGUUUAAUCAUUCUAGAAGUUCUAAACGAAGUUAUCAAAUUGGCACAAUCACUUUGCAUAUUAUAUUAGUAGGGCUCAAGCAUACUAAUUAUAAGAACAGAAUAAAGGUGAAGUUAAUCCAACAGCUUUGCUGGUCCCUAUUCCUUUUUCUGCGAAUAUAAUAAUCACAUUUAUUCUACAGCUUCUAUCUCCAUUGCUUUUUAAUUUCCGCGAAUAUAAUAAUCACAUUUAUUCUAAAGUAUUAAAAUACCUAAGAAUUUUGACACUUACAAUUUCUCCACCCGAGGUUUAAAAAAAAAAUCAUCUUUUUUCACCUUGGCGUUAAGAAAGUUGGAAUUUGUUAGGAAAUGUUUGCAAAAUGAUAAUUUUACUCUUGUAAUAUAAAUAAUGUCGGAUUUGAACGUUUAAUUUCAGAAUAUUUUGCCCUUAAACAAUUUCUAAUUUCCUUCUUGCAUAUUUUUCGACAUCGUGAAAUACAUUAAGCUUAUUCUUCAAUUUUUAUUUCAUAAUGACAUAAUCCAAAAGUUUGACGAUUCAUUUGAUUUAUGAUUAUUCAAAAAUAUUUUUCAAAACUCAAAACAGAAUCUAAAAAAUUGAGUUGAAGUUCUAAUAUUAUCUGUUUAUUUUUAACAUUUAUCCAAUUCUCUUCCCUAUUAGCGGGGUCGAAAAUUGACCAACUUAGAAAGCCAAACUGGCAAGAUGUUUACAGCUGAGCUUUCAAAAAGCUAGCCAAAACAAAUACAGCCCAAGUACAAUCGGGAGUCGUAUGUGUAAGUUGGUUAUGACUUGUAACCGUAGCUAAAGUUGUUUGUUCGGGUUUUGAUUUUCGAAUUUAGCGUUAUAAAGAAGCCACUAUUUCAUGAUUAUGAUGAACAAAUUAAAGCUGCUCUUUCGCCAUUACUCUUCUCUGCCUGGCUGAUGCGAUUCUGCAAUCCUAACUGUCUUCAAAUCUCUUUUAUAAUUGUGGUCAACGAUAUCCUCAUCCAGAUACGUUUGGAAGACCUGCGAGUAAAAAUGCGAUUGAAUUUAACUCUAUAUAUUUUAAGUUCUAAUGAUGUAGACCCGCAAGUAUUUUUUUUUUUUUGUAACUUCACUUCAUCGUAUAUAUGUAUAAAUGCAAAUUAAAUAAUUAUUUCUCCUAAUUAAUUUGCUUAUUGUUUCCAUUGCAAAGGCAUGCACCUAGGUCAACUGGACCAUAUAUCUCAUAGGAGAUGGAACUAUACGUACAUAAUUAAUGUAUAAAAAAUGCUAAAGAAAAUGAAGGUGAAUAGAGGUUUGACAGAAAUAAUAGUAUAGUAAAUUGGGGUUUAUUAUGUUAAUUAAUUGAUUUUUUAAUUAAGUCUAAGUCGAUGUUUCUGUCAAAAUUUUCAAUCUUACUCAUGAUAUAUAAAUAUCAUGCAUAUGUUUUUCAAAAGAGAACUGAUAUUCAGUCAAAAUACUAACAAAAAUAAAGUAAAUCCGGCCAGGUUUACAUAGUUAAAUGCCAACAUAGUAACCCUGGCUAGGUGUAUAUAUACUGUAUUUGUCAGCGUUUAAGUCUAUUUUAUCAUUUUUUUUCCUCCAUGAAAGGUAGUAAUUAGUUUAUAUAUCUACGUAUUAAGAAUGUAUGGACAAGACUCGUCCAUAUCUUCAUGCGCUUCGUAAUCUUGAAGAUAAUAAUAAAUUUUUAUACUCUUGAUUUAUAAAGAAAUAAAUUCAUUAAUUUAUGUAUAUAAAUUCACCAUUAAUUACUCAUGAUCACCAGCGCGUUUCUAAAAUGCAGAUUGAACGAGAGAUUUAACUAUUAUUACCGAAGUGCUUGGCAAGGACAGCAAUAUGAAGAAUGGAGAUACUAUCCCAAAAAAUCUUCAGCUGUUAGUUGAGCAAAGUAAUCCAAGCAGCCAUCAUUACAUUCUCUCAUUAAGGCUAUUCCAUAAGAAUCUCCCUUCGUUAUCCUCAUCUCAUCCAUAAACACAAGCGCCAUCUCGCUUCUCUCUCUCACUUGUAUAAUUGAUACACUGAACAAGCUGUGUUCUUCGAUUUCCUUAAGUUUAAUUGUCUCAAUAUAAGUUGGCAUAAUCACUUUGCUUAAUUUCUUAAUGAAGUUCAAGCAUGAUAAGAAUAAAAUAAAGAUAAAGUAUUUAACCUAUCGGGUUCAGAAAAGGAAUAGAACAAAUUAUUUCAACGACUUUUGUCUGCAUUGCUUUUUCAUCGAAUAUACAUAAUAACCACCAAUUCACCAUAUUCUCAUAACGCAAAGGCGAUUGUGCUUUGCCUAAGCCUUAAGCCUUAAGUUUUUCGCUAUUUUAUAAAGAAAUCAUGACCAUUAUGGAUUACAUUGAAACGAUCCGCCCCGAACCAUAGGGGUGAGUCUAUUUAGUCUCAUCAAACUGAAUAGAUAAUAAUCUAAUUAGUAGGGAUUCUGCUAAAAAUUUGACAAAGUUUUCUUUAUAAAUAUGACACUUCGAGCCUGUAAAUAUGUAAUACAAGUACUCCCAAAAUAAAUCAAUAUACAACCAACUCCAAGAAUCAACAUUCUCAGUCAAAAUGCUGAAUUAUUACCUAAGAUAUCUCCAAAGUAUUGAAAGAUUAUAUUAGAACUAAUAUUAAUAUACAUUAGUUUAUUCUUAAUCACAAAAGAAUAAUACAACAAAAUUUAUACAAUCCAAAAAAAUAAAAGAUGAUCUGGAUGUCCUAACAAAAAAAAUCAUCUAUAUUUUCUAACACCAUCACGUGACCCAAACUCAAAAUAUAUCUAUAGUCGUUGGGUCGAUUUGGUGUACUUACAACCUCUUAUUGGGAGGAGGGGGGGAGGGGGGAAUAUAAUAAAACGAAAUGAGUAUAAAACUCAUUGAGCUCAGUGAGUGAUUAUUAUUUUUUUUUUGGAAAAUAAAUUUACUAAAAAAGAUAAUUUAAUCUUUUUUUAAACGAUUCCAUCAUAAUAUCAUAAGAACUUAAAUAAAUUUAUUUAAUUUAAAUCAUGCACUGAUAAAACAAUAAUACAUAAUACUGUAUAAAAUCAAGGAAAUCAUAACACUUAUAAUAACAGAGAGUGAAUGCCAAAAUUAUUACUAAACAAGUAUCCAUGGGAAAUAAUAUUGUCAUAUCCGAACCUCAACGGACGGGUAAUGAUGUACUAUCUAGAUACUAAUACUAUCAUGCCCUCGGGCUACACGGAUAGACGGGGAGGUGUCAUCUCAUAUCUCAUCAUAUCUGUACAUGCAUAAUCUAAUCCCCAAAGGAUAAAAACACCCAAGCACACAUCUCAAAACCUUUAUGUGUAUUUAGACGGGUCCUAAAGGUCUAUAUCUCAUCUGUAUCAUCUCUAUCUGUAUUAUUGUUAUCAUCAUAUCACAUGCAUAUGCCCUCAAAAGGCAGAACGCCUUGAAAUAGAUUUUAAUCACACAUUGAUAUUUUAUUAAAAUAUUUGGUUAAUAGUUUUUCGUAUUGAUUUUGAAUAAAUUAUGAUAGUAUUUUAAAGGCGAGAAAGAUGGAUUUAGAUGUGAUAAUGAAAAGAAAAUAGAUUUUAAGUAUGUUAAAUAGAAAAGAAACAAGGUUUAUAUUAUGAUUAUAUGUUUAUGUAUAUGUGUAUAAAACAUUGUUUAUAAAAUCAUUUGACAAUACCCUUCCUCAGUUACAGUGAUACAUAUAUGAUGAGGCUUUUAGGGCCCGUCUGAUCACAUAUAGGGGAUUUGGGCCGUGUGUUCAGAACAUUUAAAAUAUUUAUUUCGCAAACAUGUUUUAGUAUCAUAAUUAACUAUGAAAGUAAGUUUUGUAUAUUUUACUCAUAGUGAUGAUUUUUAGAUUCGGUUAUCGCCCAUGUUCGAGGACUGGUUCUCGCUUGCAGAUCCUUUUAAAUUAAGGAAAUGACAUAAUUAUUUUCCGUAAAUUGAAAUUAGAACUAAAUUCAUACAAUAAACUCAAAACGAACAUCUAUCCAUAAUUUACAACUUUCAUGUCGAUAAAAUUACUAAAAUACCCUCGAAUCCGUAAAUCAUUAGAAUACUCUAAAAUUGUAAAUCACUACAAUACCCUUGAAAUCGUAAUUACAUCUGAUCCUCAAUUUCAGAAAUUAUUAAAAUCUAUAUUGGGUCAAAAAUUACAAAAUCACCCUCAAAAUGUGAAAUUAAUGAUUUGCCCUCGCCAACGGUAACCCGGAAGGUCAAGUGUGAAAUUUUCAGCCGCGAUGAGUCUAAUGGUGCCUGCAGUGACCUCCCACGUGUGGAGACGGUGGCAGAUCGAAGUCCCAAAGCCGUGAGCUUUCCGGCCGCCGAUCGACAGCAAUCCGGCCGUUUCGGGUGGCGGGAUUGGUCAGAAAAUGAUGAGGAUGAGCUAAGGAUCAAGAUCCAGGCAGUGGCGUUAUCCAAAAUGGCGGAAUCGACAACGAGAGGAGGUGGGUUUUGCCGCAGCUUUUCGAGCUUCAAAAGGCCGCAUUCCGGUCAGUUUUCGGCGGCGAGGAUGGUACAGAAAUGACGGCCGUCUUCCAAGCUUCAAAUCGGUACCUUGAUCGGCCGGAGGGGGUCGGAAUUGCGAGAUCUGGCCGGGUCGAUUUUGUGUCAAAGGGGUCAGGUUUUCUGGACAGCUUCCUCCCCUCCCUCUCUCACACGUGUGGUCUCUUCCUGUCCUUCAAGCCUUUUAUUUAUUUAUUUAUUAUUAGUAUUUUCUUAAUUUUUUUUUUUACGUACAUAAUUUGGAAGGUGAGGAGUUCGUGAUUUAUGAUGAUUUCUUCGGAAGAAGAUGGAUACGUAACUUAUGAUGAUUUUUUUACCAUAGUUCGGAAGAUGAUGAAUCCAUAAUUUAUGAUGAUUUUUUAAUAUAUAUAAUUUUUGUUUUAAGAUAGUGAGGUUGCAAAGCACAAAUCAAUUUUUAAUUAAAUCUUAUCAAAAACUAUUAAAUCAAUGGUAAUGGGACCGAUUUACCGUACAAAUUGCCAACAACAUAAAUGGUGAUUGAUUUGUUACUUUUAUGCAAUUUUGUAUAAACUGAGCCUUGGAGCCAUAUGAUACAAGAAGAGUCUGAAUUAUUAUUAUUAUUUUUUCAAUUGUUUCUUAAAUUCGUGGAUGAAGCUGAAUGUUUUUUUUUUUCCUUUCUUGAUGAAAAAUAUAUUUUUUGGAUAGUGACUUUCAUUCUGAUCUAAAUUUUCAUUUGAGCACAUACAUGUGGGUGUAAGUUGUCAAUAUAAUGCAAUGAUGAUUCUAUCAACUAAAAAAAAAAAAAUUCAUAUUGAUGAUAAUGAGUAAACAGAUAGAUCAUACAUUCAUUAUUUAAUUUGAAAUACACACAGUACAUUAUUAUUAUUUGCCACACCAAACCCAUCUUUUACAUGAAGUAAUACGACACACCCAAAGGAAAAUAUAUGUGAGAACAAUGAGAUAAAUAGCGUUAAUUAGAGCUGCAUUACAUAUAAGGAUUGUCAUCAUAUCAUGCGUAUGUAUUAAUUAUUAACGCCAAUGCGUCCUCUUCUUCUUCUUCGAAGGUCCCAAGUAAUCCUUAAAAUUAGCCGCAAAAUUAGUAUAGACAGGAAACUCCAUGAGUGCUAAAAUAACCACUGGAAAGAUAGCAGCAGCGUAGAGAGUGGCGGUCCAUUUCUUCCCCAAACGAAUGAUGAGCAGAAGUGAAGCCGAGAAAGUAAUCAUGCUUGUUAAUACAGAGAAGAAGAGUAAAAUGAAGCCAGUCGUCAGCUUGCUCGGAAGGUCGCUAAGGAAAUCAGAUGACUCACGUGGCGAGGUGAGGAUAGAUAGAAACAUCACAACGGAUGACAAAGAGAAGGACAGCGAGGCAACGUCCGUUACAGUAAAAACGUAGAAUAGUGGUGACCUAAGGAAAUGGGGAAACCCCUUUUCAUUGUUACCUCCAGGUAUCGUGAAGGCAGCCGUAAAGACGACGGUCGCGAUUAGGAUUGCCAGCACGGAGCAUGCCUGAGCGGUUUCUUUGAUCCAUUCUUGUGCUUUCCUAAGUUGAUCUUCAUGUGUUAGAUCGAAGAGGUCACUUGCAGUGAUUUUUUUUAUUUCGUCGCGGUGCAUGACAUAAUGGCGAGGCAUUAUCUUUUUUACACGCUGCAUACACACACACUGUAAAAUAAUAGCAAAUUAAGCUAAAUGCUUGUUUGGUUACUGAGAAAAUAGAUGAACUCUCUGGAAUAUUUUCUUUUUCAUCAUUUAAGCAAUCGUUACAGACUCUGUUUAUAUACUCUUUAUUUCCAAGCUACAAUUGAUCAAAUAAGCAUUGCACUAACUAACCAAUCAGAAUAUUGCAUCACUAACUAAAAGCUAAUCAACUAACUAAUAGACACGUGAGCUUUCAACAAUCUUUAACAAAAUUAGCUGACUCAGCACUGACGUGGCAUUGCUGAAGAAUCUUUGACUGCUGGCUUCCUUUCUUGUUUUAACUCAGCACAGUGAGCUCUCUUCACACACACACACACAUAUAUAAUGCAUGGAGUCCAUCCGAAAAUAUAAUAUUAGAGUAUGCUUUUAUUUAUAUAAACACAAUGAAUAAAUUAAAUGUACUUGGGGGACAAAAUUCAAUAUUAUCAAAGGGCUUACCUCGAACCACUGUAACUCCUCCUGAAAUUGGAGAACAGGACCAGGUGCGGAUUCCUUGCUUAUAAUGUUUCAUGUCUGCGACAUGGUGCAAUAAUGUAUAGCCUUUUUUGUCAAUUCUGGCAGCCCAUUUGGGCACGUACAGUUGCAUUUUAUUCAUGAUGAGUUCAAAGACCUUAUGUUGACGACGCUCUACGGCCACAUGUAAUAUAUUCUGCUCAUUCAGCUCAUUCGCCUUAGAUAAUAGUGCUUGAGGAUAUCGUUGGAGUAUCUCCUCCAAAAUUUCUGUUAUUCCGUUGCUAGCUGCAAAGUGUAAUGUCCUAUCCUGUGUUGUGGCGUUUUCACCAUCCUCAACUGGGUCCUUAGUGCCAUCUUUUUUCCUCAGCACCUCGAUCAAUUCUUCAGCUGAAAGAUCAACAAGUUUUUUUCCCAAGAUGUCCUUUCCUUUGCCCAAUCCCAAGGUAAUUGUUUUCGUUGUUCCGGAAGUUUCCGUUGUUCCGGAAAUUUCUAGUUCCGUUGUUUCGGAAAUUUAUAGUUUCGUUGUUUCAGCCUUUUGGGGAUUAGAGGGAGGGUUCGACCUUUUUAUUUUAACCAGCCUUUUGACAAGGGCAACCGCAUCUUCAUGCGUUUUCUUUUCCUUCCAGAUUUCCUCAAUCCAUGAACAUCCUGGUGAUGCAUGCAUCAACAUCUUAUUAAUUUAUGAACAAAAUUAUGCACGCAAACGGCAAAACCGUUCAUCAAAUGAAUUGAAGUUAUUAGACAUUUCCCCUGUACUUCUAAUGUGUAUCAUAUAUGUAGAAGUAAUUAAUGAAAUUAUUAUUUGUCGCACCUUCAAUCACCUGCCUCCAAAUACCAAUAUACAUCUUCCAAAUUGACGUUCCUGCAUUUUGAUUAACCUGGUCAGGCAAAAUUUUAUAUGCACAUAAUUAUGAUAUGAAAAAUUAAUGCUAACGCAUCGAAAAGGAAGCCGCUCGGACUCAAGUUAAAAGCGUGGGGGUUUAAAUAUAAGGAGACAUGUGGAUGCAAUUUAUUUGAGAUGGUAAAUAUUUUAAUCUGCAAUUUGUAGAUAAGCUCCUUACCAUAAGAUAUGCAUGAGUCCAUAGAAACUAAAGAAAAGGGAACAUAUUUCCCCCAACUAUUUGAGGUAUUAUUUACUUUUCCUCUCGAUAUUUUCAAAACGGUCAUGUACCUCGUUGUUAAAGAGAGAAUACAUUAAAACAAUCCUUUUUACUAUUUUGUCCUUGAAACAAUAUACUUUUAUCCUAAAAAUUAAUGAAUAAAAUAAAAUCUAAAUAAUUAUUUCAAUAUUAAAUUUGUUAAAAUAUAGAUUGCAACAAAUCUCCGAUCGGUCUCUUUUGUAAUUAUUUUUUCUGACGUGCCAAUGAAAAUAUGAAAAUCAGACUUUCUAUUUGAUACAGAGAUAUGUUUCAAAGAUAAAGGUUGACUGGAUAGUAGCUCAAAUGUUUAAGGGGAACAAAUAGGUUUCUAACAAAAAAUACAAAAAAAGAGCAUGCAAUGAUAAUACCAUUAGAUGUCAAAAUUAAGGCUUCGUUUGCCUUCUGGGCUAAUAUAGAAUGAAAAUUUUCCUUACUAAUAGAAAAUUUAUGGGUAUUUUAUAAAAUUAAACACUACUAGAUGUCAAGUAAAAAUUGGAGUAUAUUAUCAAUAAAUAAUUGUGAAAAAUAACCUACUUAAUUAAAAGCCAAACUGACAAAGUGUUUGCAGCUGAUUAGGUGUGCAAAAAGCUAGCCGAAACAAAUAUAGCCCAAUUACGAUCCAGAGUCGUAUGCGUAGGGGGGUUAUGACUUAUAACCGUAGCUAAAGCCCAAAGCUGUUAGUUCGGGUUUUGAUUUUUGAAUUUAUAGCAUUAUAAUGAUUAAUGAAACCGCUAUACUAUGAUUAACAAAUUAAAGCUGCUCUUUCAGCAUUACCUCGCCUCUUCUUUGUGUGGCCGCUGCGAUUGUCAAUCUUAUCAGUCUCUAUAUCUUCUUUAUAAUUGCAGUCGUCAUCCAGACACGUUGGAAGACCUGCAAUUAGAACUACAAUUGAAUUUAACUAUAUAUAUUCUAAGUUCUGAUAAUGCAACAAAACAUUUUUUUUUAAUUUAUGCUUAAAUACAAAUUAACUAAAAUGUUUCUCCUAAUCCAUUUUUUUAUGUUCCCAUCGUAGCCGCAUGCACCCAUGACAACGCGACUAUAUAGAUCCAUUUGGGGUAACUGCGCUGCCACAGUGUAGCUCCUCCACCCCCUUGAUUUUAAGAAGAUUCUCUUAAAGUAAAGGGUAGAGCAGCUACCCCAAACGGCCCCCACAUCCCUUUAGAGAUUAAAUUAUAUUUGCAUAUAAUUAAUAUAUUAAAAACAUUAAGAAAAAGUAAAGGCGGGUAGAGUGUUGGGCAGAAAUAACAGUAUCCCCGUUGGGGCAGGUGGACCAUUGUUUCCGUAUAUUUUCCAUGAGAACGCUGAUAUUAUGAAAAAAAAAAAUACUGAAAGAAACAAAAUUAAAUGCAAUCAAAUUUGCAUGGUUCAUUGCUAAUACUGUAACCCGGACCGAAUGUAUGUAUAAUAGACAAAGUCAAUAUUGAUGCUUAUUCAUUUUUAUAACUUUUCUCUGCUGUAAAUCUCUUUUAUGUAUAUUUUAGUUACGAUCGACCGUACAAUCAGUCGAACAAAUUGUUCUCUUGUAUUACAAAUAUUGAGUGAACUCAAUGAGAAAUAGUAGAGUCAUAUUUUCCAAACCUGACAUCAAACAAUGUAUCCACGCACGAUAAUGGAAAGGACUCUUGAUCAUUCCCCUCUUGUCAUCCGCACUCUUGAAAGCAUCUGGCAUUAGAGUUAGUAGUUCAAGACAUGUAAAGCCCUUAAGCUUGUCGGACGUGGACGAGAGCUCGUCGGACUUCGGCGUUCCUCGUUUUUCUGCAAGGCUUGAGUACUCGCUCUUAAGUAACCAAAUAGCCGUCUCUGUACGUAGUCGAGAAAAUUAAUUAAUCAGUUAAGAAAAUAAUAAUAAAUUUUUUAACCCUUGAUCUAUAAACGCAUGAAUUAAUUGGAGAUUUAAUUAUUAGAUAUUACCGAAGUGUUGGCCGAGGACAGCCAUAUGAAGAAUUGUCAUAUCAUCGUUUUCUCUAUUGAAAUGAUAACUUGAGUCACAAAAUUGCUCAGUCAAGAUUUGCAGCACUUUAGUUUUUCCAAGAGCGGCAGCCCUGUAAACUGGAGUUUCCCCCAAAAGGUUACGAACCCUGAGUAGAUUUUCGUGCGCAUCAACAGACAUUCUGGAAAAGUCAACCAAAACCCUGGCCACGGUGAAAUCUUCGACGACGGCCGCUUCGUGAAGACCAGUGUUUCCAAACGCAUCUCUUUGCUUCAAGGCUUCAAGUCUGGUAUCUGGUGUUAGCCUUUCGAGAAAUUUCUGGAUCAGCUGAGGGUCUUCCAUGGCCGCUGCAAUGUGAAUUGCGGAGUCUCCAUUGGCUGUCCUGUAAUCCAACAACUCUUUAUCAGGCCGAUCAGCAAAGCACUUCAAGAAGCCUUCACAGUCUCCCUUCAAGGCCAUUCCAACAGGAUCUCCCAUCGCCCUCUCUCUCUCUCUCUCUCUCUCUCUCUCUCUCUCUCUCUCUCUCUCUCUCUCUCUUUCUCACUUGUAUAAUUGAUGCACAGAACAAGCUAUACGUGUUCUUCGAUAUCCAUAUAAUUAAUUACUUCCAUCGCCGUCCCUUAUAUAGAAGUUCUAAACGAAGUUGGCAUAAUCACUUUGCCUAUUUUACUAAUAAAGCUCGAGCAUUAUAAGGAAAAAAAAAAGUUUUAAAGUGACAAAACGGAAAAGAUGAUAAAAGAACAAAGUUCUGAAAAGAGAAGUGAUUAUUGAUGAAAAUUUGUUUGCAUUGUACGGUAUUGUUCCCUUAAAUUCAUAGAAUGUGGAGUUACCAAAAGACCAAAGUUAAAAGUAAAAUAAAAUUAUUAUGUUUGAGAUCAAAGAGAAAAAGAAUAAGAAAAAGAAAACGCAUGCAAUUAAAAAUGAUAUUUUUUGUUGAUUCAAGAGGCCAAUCACCUCUGAAAUGAAAUUAGCUUUUGUCUUUCUGUGUGUUUGGGAACGAUAUAUUAUAUAUGCAAAAACGAACAGUUGUAUCUAAAAUUACAUUUGGGAAAGUAUAAAGAUCACGUUCCACGUCAUAACGUUUGUUAACAAAUGAUGUCAAUAAAAAGAAUAGAAUAUAUAAAUUAUUUCCAGGCUCAAGUUACAGCUCCGAGAAGGUGUAUGGUCCAUGUUGUACAUCAUAAGGUUUGUUAAUCAAUGGUGUCAGAAAAAUAGAGUAGAAUAUAUAUAAUUUAUUUCCACAACUUAAUUUUGUCUCCAUUGCUUUUUCCGCGAAUAUAUAUAAAAAGAGUGGGAGAGAUCCUAACCCUUACUUUAAUAACAUGGUGAUUAUUGUAAACGCUAUUGUGCUUUGACUAGACUAAAGCCUUUUGCUAUUCUACAUGUUAUCAUUAUUUCUCGUCAUGAAGUGGCAGCCAAUCAUUAAAAAAUAAAUAAAAAUGUAAAAAUAUUUGGAAAGUUUAAAACUUAUGAUAGAAUUUGGCCUUAUUUUGUAUAGAUGUGUUGUGAAAAUCAACUGUAUACUCUAUUGUAAAUAUAGCUUUGGAAAAAUAUCUUUACUGAAUUUUAUCGUACAACUAUAGAAUAAAAUCAACUUAGCUUCUAAACCAUAACAGUAACUAUUUAUUAAACACUUUAUUGAUCUAUUUUAAAAGCUUCCACUGCUUAAUUACAAUACCAAACAAGAUGUUGAUCUAAGUUGGUUCUAACCACAAUACCAAAUAGGGACUUACAUUCUAUCAGUUAAGUCUUUAAGUUUAUUUGUUUUUUUAACUUAUUAAAAAUUUUCAAUCAUUAAGCUAUUAAGCCAAUUUUCUUAGCUUCUUAUUUAAUCUAAAAAGUCUGAAUAAUGUUAUUAAAGAUAUUAUUUAAAAUAUUCCUAUCCAACUAAUUUAUUUUCAUCUUUACCUAAAUAAAACUUACUAAUUAGCAUACUAUUCAUCUUUAUAACUUGUGAGAAUAUAGUAUAUUUUUAUUUUAAUCUUUUUUAUUUUCUUCAAAUUAGCAUUAUCUAUUUUCAUAAUUUUUUAUGAGUAUUUUUUAUAUGAAACACCAUAAAGUGCAAUAGAAUUGAUUCACACGUUCUAAUUUAGAAUAUUAAAGGGUUGUAUUCACCUGAACAUGAUUCAUGUUAUGAUAGAAUAAUAUCAUAUUUUUGUUCAAUGAGAUUUUAUUAUUUAUUUGACAUUUGAAAUGUAUGAGCGUACAAAUGUAAAAGUAUUAGUUUUUAGAUUUUUAAGUUGAAAAAAAUAAUUAUUGUUCAAAAAUUUAUAUUAAAAAAAUAUGUUAUUUGGAUUUAAACGUUUAGCUCUAUUCAAAAUUCAGACUAACUUGGGUCUACUCAAAUUUUAGAUAAAAAAACAAAUGUCACCUAAGUAAAUCUAUGAUGAUACAAGCAUAUUAGUAUUUAAAAAAAAAUCAGCAUCUUCUUUUUUCAAAUAUUACACAAUAUAAAUUAAGCUUCAUAGAAUGCGAGUGUGAAUGGAAUUUAAAGCAUAUGGCCAUUCUUCCAUAGCUGUCCUUAUCUCAUCCAUAAGUGCCAUCUCUGUCUCUCACGUAGUCACUGUAUAAUUGAGACACAAAACAAGCUAUACGUGUUCUUCGAUAUCCUUAAUUUUACUUGUCUUAAUAUAUAUGAGUAGGUUUGAUGCAUCCUUCUACAAAUUCUCUAAACUAAGUUGGCAUAAUUAUAAGAAUAAAAUAAAGUUAAAGUCUGUCGGGUCAGGGAAAAGAAUAGAAUAAAUUAUUUAAUUUUCCAAAUAACUUCAGUCUUUCCGCGAACAUAAUAAUCACAUUUAAUCUACCGUGUUCUUCGAUAUCCUUAAUUUUACUUGUCUUAAUAGAUAUGAGGUAGGUUUGAUGCACGCUUCUACAAAUUCUCUAAACGCAGUUUGUUAUAAUUAUAAGAAUAAAAUAAAGUUAAGUCUGUUGGGUCAGGAAAAAGAACAGAAUAAAUUAUUUAAUUUCCAAACAACUUUUGUCUUUCCGCGAAUAUAAUAAUCAAAUUUAUUCUACCGCUUUUGUCUCCAUUGCUGAAUUUGUCCGCGAAUAUAAAAAUCUCCAUUUUAUUUAAGUAAAGGCGAUUGUACUGUGCCUAAGCGUAAAGCCAUUUGCUAUUUUGGCGGCUACAUGUGUUACAGGCCAAUCCACGUGCCAAGAAUAGACAGGACUUGUCCAUGCAUAUCUUCGUGCGCCUCGUACUCUUAAAAGCGGAUGCCAUUAGAGCCAGUGGUUGCAGGCAUGUCAAGCCAUCGUCCUUCUUGGACUUGGUUCUUUUCCACGACUGGACUCGCGAUUAAGUAACCAAAUAGCAGUGUCUCUGUGCGUGAUAAGUCCACGAAUCAUCAGUUUGAAGCAACUGUGGCAACAUGCGCUGCAUUAGCUAGCCAGGGGUCUACACUCUACACAAAGACCCCUUUAAGGCAAAUUCUGGAUGUUAGAGAUUAUACUAAUGAAGAAUUUGGUCACCUUGAACAUAACUCAAUAGCAACAGACCUGAUGCCUCCCAACGGCUCCUAGAAUAUCAUGCAUAAGAUUAAGUCAUGAGAUUGCAUCAACGAUGAAGCCUUUAGUUUAGGUAAAUAUCUUUGUAAUUAUGAGAUGUGUUUUAUUCCUUUUAAAGCAUGAUACAACUUGUAUAUAUGCUGUACGAUUUGUUUGAGUAGAAACAAUCUCAAUUACUUUCUCAUAUUUACAUUUUCCACAGCACGUAUUCAAGCAGGACAGAAAUGUAAUUAAUUAAUUAAUUAAAAAGAUAGCAAUAAAUGUUUAAACUCUUGAUAUAUAAAUAAAUAAAUAAAUUCAUUAAUAUAAAUAUAUUCACUACUAAUCAUAUAUAAAUAAAUAAAUUCAUUAAUAUACAUAUUUUAGUUUUCUAAAAUACAGAAUGAAUGGAAAGAUUUAAUCAUUAUUACCCAAGUGUUUGGCAAGGACAGCAAUAUGAAGAAUGGAAAUUUUGUCCCAACAAAUCUUCGGCAGUUAGUUGAGCAAAGUAAUCCGAGAAGGCCUCACAGUCUCUCUUUAAGGCCAUUUGUCAUCAUCUCCACUGCUAUCUAUCUCUUUCUCACUUGUACAGUUGAUACACGGAACAAGUUGUACGUACGCGUUCUUCGAUAUCCGUAAUUUUAAAAUUGACCAUUUUCUCACUCCAAGAAAUCUGGGAUAUGACAUAAUAGAACUAGAUCUCGUUUCUACUGCGGUGUUGUGGGAAAAAAAGGAUAUAGCUAAAAUAAAAGUCAAUAGUUUAUGAUAAAUAUAGUUUUUAAAUAAUUAAAUAAAAAUAGUAAAGGAUAUUAUAGAUAUUCAUUGUAUAAGUGUGGGAUAAAAUUAACUUAAUUUUUAAAUCAUAAGUCAAUAGUAAUAAAUAUUUGCCAAAGAUUUUAAUGUUGUAGUUUAAAAAGCUACUCUAUGCACAUCCUUGAUUGUACAAGCAUAUUAUUAUUAAAAAAAUUAUUAUCUAUUUUUUUUGUUAGUUACUUCUUUUUCCAAUUAUUGCAAAAUAUAGACAAAACUCAUGCUUGGUCGAACGUUUUUAUUGUUAAUAGAUUAAUGUAAGUUGACUAUAAACUUGGUUGAUAUUCAGUAUUCGACGUAAUGUCUUGGCCGGAUGUGGUUAUUCCAUUGCAUCAAUUAAUUGUACGGUUGAAUACCAUGAUUGUUUUGCCUUAAAACAUUUUCUAAUUUCUUGCUUGGACGUUCUUCAAUAUUGAGAAAUAUAUUUAAUUUUCUCCGAAUUUUUUUUUUCUUUCAUAGUGACAUAAUCCAAAAAUUUAAGGGUCCAUUUGAUUACAAUUCAAAAAUAAUUUAAACAAAUAUAAUCUCAAAAUUUGUGUUGAAGUUUUAAUGUGUUUACUUUUUAUUAUUUAGCCUGACAGCACUCAAUUCCCUCUCCACCUAUGUGAACGGAAUUUAACUCCUAAAUCUCUUGUUUCAAGAAACUAAAAGAGAUUUUACUAUCUUAACUAAAUGGUAACUACAAGCUUUAAAUGUCUUUAUAUAAUAUUUAAAACAAAUAAUUUCAACAACUGAAACAUGUUUAACAAAAUUUCUAAUUAAUAAAAAAUAAAAAUACUUGUUUAGGUGGCGUGAUUUCAAAGGUAAUAUUUACUUAAGCAUUUACAAUUUUAUUUUCCUUUCAGCUAAUUACAUUAUAUCAAGCAGUAACUUGACCAAAAUAAACAUAAAACAAGCUUCAUCAAGAUUCAAUAUUGAUUAUAUUCUGUUAGCUUCUAUUCUGUUACAUUAUACCUGUUAGGCUUGCCACCAAAUAAAAGCUGGGGCAGUUGUCUGUCACUUUGCACGUUCAUCUACUUAGCAUCAGGACAAUGCUUAGAUGCCCAUUUUCGGAACCUGUUAACGGCAGCUUCUUGCUCUGCUCUGGCCACCUUCUCAAUCUCAGAAAGAUAUUCCCGAUCAACCAACAUCCCCUCAGUUUCCAUUUUAACUAGAAUCUCACCAAAUGGUUGCCAGUAUUCCUGAUAAAAGUCAAACAUGGAUUUUCCUGGAACUGGUUUCCCAUCAAGUUUCCAUGACAUUUCUAAAAGUAUUUUUUUUCGAGCUCUUACAAAGCUUCAGUGUGUUUAUUGAAUCAAAGGCAGAAUAAGAGAUCCACAAUUCUCGCUCCUCUCUUUGAAGCUCUUCAACAGGAGCAAUGGUGCUUAUUUUGCCAGCAGAUCCAUCCUUUUUCAGCUUUCUCCUGCCAAAGAUAUCUUUCAUUGAUAUUUUGCCCAUGAAACCCUCAUCUGUGUUGUCCUUAGACAUGUCUUUCUGAUAAGCUUUCUUAUCCUCAGACAUGACUUUCCGAUCACCUGUAAGUGCUUCAGACUGUAACCACCCUCUGUGCGUCUCGAUGAAUCCCAAAGCUGUGCCAUAUGCAUUGUGUCAGCAUGAAAACCAGAAACCUUCAGCCCAUAGUUCUCAAGGACAUGGUUAUCAAAGCUAUAGUUAUGCCAAACCUACACAAAUGAUAGCUGUUAAUAUAAAGAUCAUAUGAAAAAGCAGACGACAUAAUUUUUUUUUCUUUUUUUGUGAUCCAAGUAAACUAAUACGGAGUAAAGCAGUUUGUUUAGCUAAGUAAAGGAAAUUGGAUCAGUUACGUCUAUAGAAGGUGGAAACAGCUAGAAAUCCACCAUAAAAGAGAGAGAGAGAGAGCACAGAGAGAGGAAACAGCUCUGCAACUGAGCAGAGUAUUUCCUUUCUUUGAUCGGUGUUGGAAAUUAGGCCUUGAUUUUAGCCUUAAUCCUAGAGAUAUUUUAGGAUCCUUUCCUCUGUAAAUAUAGAUGAUAGCUGUCAAAUAUUAGCUCUUAAUUAGUUUCCUUUUCUGUUAUAAUUGCUCUAUUUAAAAGGGAUCCUUGUACUGAUUGUAAAUAUGAAGGAUAAUACUUUUUCCUCAUAAUUUCUAAGUUGGUAUCAGAGCAUAGGGAAUCGUGUCUGCAACCAUGUCAGAAGUCACGUCUGAAACCACUCCAACCCCUGCUGCUGCCAUUCCAGAAAAAACAUCUGAGACCCUGCGAAACCACUCCAACUCUCAUUCUGUUCAAAUCACCACCAUCCGCUUAAAUGGCGACAACUUCCUCCGCUAGUCGCAAUCUGUCCGGAUGUAUAUCCGUGGGCAAGGAAAAAUUGGUUACAUCACUGGUGACAAGAAGGUUCCUGCUAAUGAUGAUCCGCUGUAUGCCACUUGGGAUGCUGAAAAUUCCAUGGUUAUGACAUGGCUGGUCAACUCCAUGGAGGAGGAUAUAAGCUCCAAUUAUAUGUGCUAUCCUACUGCUAAAGAAUUGUGGGACAACGUUAGUCAGAUGUAUUCUGACCUGGGCAACCAAUCUCAGGUUUUUGAGUUAACUUUAAGGUUGGGAGAGAUUCGUCAAGGUGAUGAUUCUGUCACCAAAUAUUUCAAUUCUUUGAAAAGGUUGUGGCAAGAUCUUGACCUCUUCAACACAUAUGAAUGGAAAUCCGCUGAUGACUGCAACCACCACAAGAAAACUGUGGAAGACAGUCGUAUUUACAAGUUUCUUGCAGGCCUCAAUGUUGAGUUUGAUGAAGUACGAGGGAGGAUUAUUGGCAGACCUCCUCUACCACCCAUUGGCAAAGUCUUUGCUGAAGUCAGAAGAGAAGAAAGCCGAAGGAGCGUAAUGCUCAGGAAAAGGAGUACCGGUGAGUCAAUUGAGAAUUCUGCCUUAAUUACUGAUGCAGCAGCCUACAAGACUGCAAAUUAUCAGCGCAGGUCUGAUGAUAAGUCACAGGCAUGGUGCGAUCAUUGCCACAAGCCUCGCCAUACACGUGAGAAGUGUUGGAAGCUUCAUGGCAAACCUGAAAUCCUAUAGCCCUUUCUUGUUUAAACUCUUCUCCAUGGAUCAUAGAUUCUGGAGCCUCUGAUCACAUGACUAGUUCUUUUCAUUUAUUUAAUACCUAUUCUCCUUGUUCUGGAAAUCAAAAAAUUAGAAUUGUCGAUGGUAGUUUUUCACCUAUUGCAGGAAAAGGACUUAUCAAACUGACCGAGAAAAUUAAUCUCAAUUCUGUUCUUCAUGUCCCUAAAUUAGCCUGCAGUCUUUUGUCUGUUAGCAAAUUAUCUAGAGAUUCUAAUUGUCGUAUUACCUUCUUUGAAUCACAUUGUGAAUUUCAGGACCAGAACUCGGGGAUGAUGAUUGGACGUGCUAGGAUGAUUGAAGGUCUUUACUACUUUGAUGAAGUACUUAUUAGUAAUAAAAAAGCUCAGAACUUUAUUAGUACUAGUUCAAUUUCUGUUCGAGAAAAAAUAAUGCUAUGGCACUAUAGACUAGGACAUCCUAGUUUCUUUAUUUGAAAUACUUAUUUCCAGAAUUAUUUAAAGGGAUUGAUUGCUCUUCUUUUUAUUGUGAAUGUUGCACUUUUGCAAAACUUCAUCGUUCUACUUAUUUGCCAAAACAGUACCAGGCCUCUAAACCUUUUUAUUUGAUUCAUAGUGAUGUUUGGGGUCCUUCUAAGGUCACUACCCUUUCCGGUAAAAAAUGGUUUGUUACUUUUAUUGAUGACCAUACUCGUUUAUGUUGGAUUUAUCUCAUGCAUAAAAAAUCUGACGUAAAAUAUUUAUUUGAAAAUUUUUACACUAUGAUUGAAAAUCAAUUUCAAACUAGAAUUGGUAUUUUACAUUCUGACAAUGGAACAGAAUAUUUCAAUGAGCACUUGGGUGAGUUUUUGAAUGAUAAAGGCAUUUUUCAUCAAUCUACAUGUCGGAAUACCCCUCAACAAAAUGGCAUUGCAGAAUGGAAAAAUAAACAUUUACUUGAAGUAGCACGUGCCAUAAUGUUUUACAUGCAUAUUCCUAAGUAUUUAUGGGGUGAAGCGGUUUUAACAGCAGCUUAUUUAAUAAACAGGAUGCCUACCAAGGUGUUAAAAUACAAAACACCUCUUGAUUGCCUUAAAGAAUUUUUUCCUGCAACAAGGUUGUUUUCUGAUUUACCUGUCAAAGUUUUUGGGUGUACUGUCUAUGUUCAUGUUCCAAGUCAAUUUCGUUCAAAACUUGACCCACGUGCUAUAAAGUGUGUAUUUUUGGGUUAUUCAUCGAACAAAAAGGGGUAUAAGUGUUUUGACCCUCAAACAAAAACAUUUCAUGUGAAUAUGGAUGUGUCGUUUUUGGAAAAAACUCCUUAUUUCAUAAAAAAUUCUCUUCAGGGGGAGACAAAUGGAGUAGAAGACAAUUUUUGGGACAUUUCUAUCCCACUUCCAAAAGUUAUUUGUCCUAUUCAAGGACCACACUUUUCUGAUAAUGAUCAGUUGAGAAAAACAAGUUCUUUAGAGCCUAGUACAAGAGAUUCUCGUUCAGGGGGAGAAGUACUACAAACAGAUCAACAUGAUCUAAAUUCUGAACUUCAGGUUUAUACUAGAAAGAGAUUUCAUCUGAGAAGUAAAGACUUGAAUGUCAAUCCUACACAAGCCCAAUUUGAAAAACUGAGUUCCAGCACUGAAAUUUCAGGUAAUCAAAUCCCAACUCCAGCUUUGAUUCCUUCGAUUGUUUCCAAUAAUUCACCAAUUAUUUCUGAUCUUGAUGUCCCUAUAGCUAUUAGGAAAGGUGUUCGAAACUGCACCAAACAUCCUAUUGCAAAUUAUCUUUCCUAUCAAAGGCUGUCAAAAAACCAUAAAACUUUCACAUCUAGGAUUUCACACUUGUUUGUUCCAAGAAAUGUACAGGAAGCACUGGAUGACCCGAAUUGGAAAUUAGCAGUCAUGGAAGAGAUGAAUGCCUUGAGGAGAAGUGGUACUUGGGAGAUAGUUGAUCCACCCAGAGACAAGAAAAUAGUUGGGUGUAAGUGGGUGUUUACGAUAAAAUGUAAUGCGGAUGGAAGCGUUGAGAGGUACAAGGCGAGGCUGGUGGCUAAAGGCUUCACUCAGACUUAUGGGAUUGACUAUCAGGAGACUUUUGCUCCUGUUGCUAAAAUAAAUUCUAUCAAAAUUUUGUUAUCUCUUGCAGUGAAUUGUGAUUGGCCUUUACACCAACUUGACGUUAAAAAUGCAUUUCUCAAUGGUGAUCUUAAAGAGGAGGUGUUCAUGAGUCUACCACCAGGAUUUGAGAAGAGUCUUGGUAGUGAUAAAGUCUGCAGAUUAAGAAAGUCAUUAUAUGGUCUCAAACAGUCACCAAGAGCAUGGUUUGAACGCUUUGGAAAGGCAGUUAUCAAUUAUGGCUUCUUGCAGAAUCAAGGGGAUCACACAAUAUUUUAUAAACACUCAAAAGACGGUAAAAUUGCAAUUUUGAUUGUUUACGUUGAUGAUAUCAUUUUAACCGGUGAUGAUGAAACAGAAUUAGCAGCCCUCAAGAAGAGACUUGCAAAGAAGUUUCAAAUUAAGGAUUUGGGAGUCCUUAAGUAUUUCCUUGGAAUGGAAUUUGCAAGAUCCAAGGAAGGUAUAUUUGUGAAUCAGAGGAAAUAUGUUCUUGAUCUCCUUGGAGAAACAGGUUUGCUUGGUUGUAAGAUGGUAGAGACCCCAAUUGAUCCUAACUUGAAGUUACCACCUGCUAAGGUUGAAGAAGUAAAGGAUAGGGAACAGUAUCAAAAACUCGUAGGGAAGUUGAUCUACUUGUCUCAUACGCGACCUGAUAUCGCCUUUGCAGUCAGCAUGGUAAGUCAGUUUAUGCACUCACCAGGGGCUGAGCAUUUUGAGGCAGUCUACAGGAUCUUAAGAUACCUAAAAGGAACUCCAGGGAGGGGCCUAAUGUUCAAAAAACAUGGACAUCUUCAAGUUGAAGUCUACACAGAUGCAGACUGGGCAGGAAGUGUCACUGACAGGAGAUCAACAUCUGGCUACUGUUCCUUUGUUGGUGGGAACCUAGUUACAUGGCGGAGUAAAAAACAGAAUGUGGUUGCUAGAAGUAGUGCAGAAGCAGAAUUCAGAGCUGUUGCCCAUGGAAUCUGCGAGGUUAUGUGGAUAAAAAGAAUUCUUGAAGAACUGAAAUUUACUUUCUCAACUCCUUUGAAAGUCUAUUGUGACAACAAAACUGCUAUUUCUAUAGCUCAUAAUCCAGUUCUUCAUGAUCGAACAAAACAUAUAGAAGUGGAUAAACACUUCAUCAAGGAGAAACUCAACACUGGAAUAAUAUGUAUGACAUAUCUUCCAACAACUGAACAGUUAGCUGAUGUAUUAACAAAGGGAUUGCACAAGAAGCAAUUUGAUAAGUUGACUAGCAAGCUGGCUAUGGAAGAUAUCUUCAAACCAGCUUGAGGGGGAGUGUUGGAAAUUAGGCCUUGAUUUUAGCCUUAAUCCUAGAGAUAUUUUAGGAUCCUUUCCUCUGUAAAUAUAGAUGAUAGCUGUCAAAUAUUAGCUCUUAAUUAGUUUCCUUUUCUGUUAUAAUUGCUCUAUUUAAAAGGGAUCCUUGUACUGAUUGUAAAUAUGAAGGAUACUACUUUUUCCCCUCAAUUUCCCCCUCGAACAUGACUAGUUCUUUUCAUAAAUAUGAAGGAUACUACUUUUUCCUCAUAUUUUCCUCAACUAACAUAAAUAGCUAUCUAAGGGGGAAAUUGGAGUUUUAGGUUUCAUCAAAUCUAUGAACUGUACCACACGGGUAGGAGAACAUAGCAUAGAUGUAGAGGUAAACUUGUAACCCAGUAGACAGCAAUGGGAACCCUAGCUUAAAUUGGAAAAGAGCAACAAAACUUGAGGAGAAAAUGCACAGCGUAGGCAGUCACCCUAAAUCUUAAACCUGUCACUGCAAAGCAAUGACAAUAAAACUCCAUCUAAUUAAACCAUAAUAUGUGAAAAAUCAGUUAUCCAGAAAUUUACUAAAGCGCAUAACCAGCUGCAAGUCCAAUGCUUGAACCGUGCACCAAUCACAUAAUGACUGGUGCAGAUUAUCAAAGAAAUAUCCGCCAAUCCAUUUCUCCAUACUGCUAACCAGAUGAUAAAUAUUCUAAUUAAAAAAAAGCGUGCAUAUGAAAAGGACUAUAAACAAGAAAAAGACGUGGUGAAGGGGGAGGAAGGGCUCACCUUUUUGAUGGAUGGAUCCUCAAAAAAUGGAGCAAAUUCAUUCAAAAGGUCCCUGCCACCACCGUCAAGAAGAUCAACCCAGAUGCAGGACUUCCCACUUCCAAAAUCUGCUUCCGGUCCAGAAUAAAUACUGAAGCAUAUCACUUCUCCAUGAUCAACAGGUGUCUCUUGCUUCACAUCAAUUUUGGCCACCUAUAAACAUGCUAUAAUUAGAUUCCUGUAUGCACAAAACUAGGGUAUCUACAUUGAGUAAAAUGUGUGCUUCUAUACAGGAAGACAUGCAAGGAAGAAGUAAAAAAGAAGGCAACUAAGUACAUCACUCAUUACCUGCCGACCAAAAAAAAAAAAAAAAAGUACCAAUUUCAACUAGAAGAAGAAAAGAACAAAGUACCUCAGUAUCACAUGCAUGGACAAGAUGCUUAUAUUUGUUUGUAAGCAUCCAUACAACCUUCUUUGCGGCAGAAACAUUAUCGACAACCAUAACAUUGCUGUAGAAGCUAGCAAGUUUACUGCGAAGAAUCUCGAGUUUUUCACUAUUUUCAUUUUCUGAAGCCUUUUUGUUCUGGCCAGUACCUUCUGCAGCAUCAUUCUUAGGAUUCUUUUGAUUACUUCGCUUAGAACUAACUAGUUUUGGAGGAGGUGAAUAGGAACUACCAUCUUCAAAGCACUCAAUCUCUGAGUUCCUGAAAUCUGACAAGUUGGGAGCUGUCAAAACAGUGGCUCCUUUUCUCUCUUGAUAUUCUGCAACUUCCUUUUCAUAUCGCAAGCACUCCAUAUUAGUCUUCUUGUCUAAGGGUAUUUGAUCAUUCACAAAGUCUUCGCUUUUUUCUUCACUGCUGGUAACUUCUUGUUUAAUAACAGCCAUCACAGAUCCAGGAUGAUUCGUAGGAUGACCACCUACUGCACCAUUUCGGAAAUCUGCCAGUCCCUAACAAUGGGCUUCUUCUGCUGCUUAAAUUUCUGAAAAUAAUGUUGCUUAGAACUCGUGAUUGAAGAAUAGAAACUACUGUCUUGCAAGCACUCAGUCUUUGAUGAAGUAAGUGAUCUGUCAUGCUUGGAUUCCAGUAUGUUGAUAACAGUGGAAAUGGCAGCUCUUUUUCUCUCUUGAGCUUUUGCAUCUUCCUUCUCAUCUCUCGAGCUCUCUGUAUUUGUCUGACAAGAUUCUACUUCUUUCAUUACAUGCAGUCUGGUCGUUUCUGUCAUCCACCCUCUCGAACUGUGGACAGUACUUUUUGCAGAAAAUGUUUCAUUACUGGAAAUAGAAGGAUUAGGACGAUAGUAGGAUGCAACCUCCAGAAAUUGUUUUUUGUAAAGUUUUUCUUCUCUUUUUUCAUCUGUUUUUUGGCAGAUCAAAAGUUCCUUUUGAGGAGUACUUUCCUUCAAAACUGUUGAGAUCUUGGCAGAAAGGGACCAUCUUAGCUGGCGCAGCACCCACCGAAAGUCUAUAAGCAUAUUUUUUAAUGGGAAAUCUCCUAGCAUUGUUAAAAGAACUAUAAAAUUGGGGAAAACUACUCGAUAUCAUAAUGUUGGGAAAGGUAGUGUUGGUUACGCAGCCUUCUUUCCUGAAAUUUUUUUCAAUGGAAACAAUAUCAACGGCAGCAGAAGGUCAAGCAACCAUGGUAAUAUACAACUUGCUGCAUGCCAAGUAAGAAAGGCGGAACAUCUCAAACAGCACCAAUAGGAAUUUAGCACCAUAUGCACAGCUCAAACCCACUGAACACUGAACAUCAGUACAGGAUGACAUUCGAGACAUAACAUAUCAUACAUAAUCACACAUAGCAUCGAUAUGACAAACCGAAACCCAGUUAACAGAAAUAAAAUGUGGGUGUUACAUAAUCUUCAAAAGUCAAAACCCAGAUAGCAAAAGCUAUGCACGCAAAAAUACAAUCUUUUUAACCUCUCCAAUUCAACAAAGCAAAACUGUAAGUGGGUAUCAAAUAACCCUAAAAAGUCAGAAUGAAAAAGCAAUAAACAGCACAAAAACACAACAAAUAAUUUCAUAACAUAACAAAUUAGAGCCAAAAAUAUAUAUGUAAAAAAAUUGAACCGAACCUUUUAAAAGAAGUGAGAGAGACAUGAGGAGAGGAGCAAGGAGUCCACUUUCUGGUGGUGAGAUUCGGGGAGACUCCCAUGACCGUUAUCAAGUUCGUAACUUUUGUUCUGCUAAACAGCAGCUUGUUGCCAGUGGUGGUUGUGCUUGUAAGAGCCGUUUUGAAGGGUUUAAGAGGGGGCAGAACGGUAAUAAAGGUGGGAUUUUGAGGGUGGGGUUUAAGAGUAUGACGGUUCUGUGUCUGUUUCUGUAGCUGAAAUACGGAGUGUGGCCAUCAACAAUCUCAACUCAGCACUAGUUGAUGAGGCAGCGACAAUGGUUAUAGCUAAAACCCUUCGUCGCACUGGCGCCCUUUAUUAUUAUUAUUUAUUCUUUUUUUUUUUUGGGUAAGUUUUCAAAAUCUCCCUUGAGGUAUGGUGAAUUUCCAAGUAGAUGACGAGAGUUGUUUAUUUUUUAAAACCCUCUAUAAAAUUUUGAAGUUUGACAUUUGUUAACUGGUUGAGUAAAAUCAAAAAAAUACUUGACAAAGUGAAAUACUCAAGCUUUACGUGUGUAAUCAUUCAUAAUUAUAGAUAAUUUACUAUUUAUUUCAGAUUAAGGUUUAACUUAAAUUUUAAGGUUCCUAGUAUAGUAGUAUUAUAGAAUUCAUAAUAAACAGCAAACCAAAUCUAGCACUUCAACACUUUCUCUCAUAAUUCAUUUAUAAAAACUAUUAAAUAAAUAGACUAAUCACAUCGCCUUGCUCUUUCUUGGCAAUAUCUAAGUAAAAAACUACCACAUUUGAGGUAAAAAUAAAACAAAAAAAAUCUAAAAACAAAAAAUAAAGAAAUUUAAUGUUUCUAAUUUUCUCAUUAAAUUAAAUGUAACGGUAAAUCAAUAAAUAAAGAGUGGCUAGUUAAAAAAGACUAUCAAUUUUGUUAAACACAUUUUGAUUGCAAAAGGCACUAUUUGUACACAUAAAGCAUUUUUGGAUUUGGUUGUUCUAGUGGCUCUAAAGAAAUUAAUUGUCUUUUCAGUAUGACUUAUUUAAUAAACAUAAAUAUUUAUUUAUUUAUUUUAAUGAGCUCUUUUCAAAUUUAUUGUUGUUGUUUAAAUUUUUUGGUAGAAUUUCUAAAGGCUAAAUAAGUUAUUUUACUUUUAUCUGCAAAAGCUCAAAUUUAGAGUAGAAGUUAAAAAAAAAAUUUAAAAUUUUAAAUAUUAAAAUAUUAAAAUUAUCCUUUAUUUAUUUGAGAAUCUUAUUCAUUCAUUUCACAAUAGAAUUUUAAAAUAAUUUUAUAACUUUUACUAAAUGCUCUUAUUGACAACUAAAUAAUUAAAAAAAAAUUAGAAAAAUCUCUACUUACAAAAGUUUUACUGACAAUAAUUCUACUCAAACAAAUUUUAUUUGAAAAGUUAUAUCUAAUAGAGCUUAAAAGUAUCAUAAUCAUUUGUUAUUAUGUAUUGGUACGAGUUUUUUUCUUUUAUUUUUAUUUUUCCCAAAUUUUUUUAUAUGAACUUUUACAAAGAUUUCCCUCUAAAAUUGAGUAUAGAUUUGUAGGUAAGUCAGGCCUUGAUUGUAUCUAAGGGCGUUGUGAUGCUUUCUCAGUUAAGAGAUGAUCAACAAAAAAUUUAACAAAUGAUGAGAGGAUUUUAAUCAAUAAAAUGAGUUUUCCAUCUAAUUGCAAAUAGAUUAUACCUCAGGGGAGAUUACGAAAACGUACGCACAAGAGAACAAACGUUGUAUCCAGUGACUGAUGUUGACUUUGCCACGCGGGUACUUGUGAUGCGUGGCUGUGUAGUUUUCAGAUUUCUGUCAAAUUUUUAAAAUUUCUAUAAUAAAUCCCACUUUUUAAUCAAAAAAAUAUUUAUACGGCGUUUACUAAAUUGAAAUCGAAAUGAAUUGAAACCAAAAUAUGUAAAAAUGAGAAUGUGGUAAAAUUAGAAUAGAGAAUGAGAAUUAAAAUAAAUUGUUUACCUCAAUUGUAGGAAUCAUAAUCGAAAUCAGAAUGAGUUAGAUUUGCAUUAAUGUGUUUACUUUAUCUUGUAAUCGGAAUCAGAAUAAAUUAAAUUAUUACAAAUUACUAAAAAAUCGUUAAUAAUAAUGACAAUAAUAUUCAUUAAAAAAAUAAAUUUAAUAAAUAAUAAUACUAAAUUAAUAAUGAUAAUAUCAAUAAAAAUAAAAAUAAUAAUAAUUAAUAAUAAUAAAUUUAAUAAUAAAUUUAAUAUAAUCUAAUAAUAAUAACAACAUUUAAAUAUUAUAAAAUAAUAAAUAAAAUUAAUAAAAUAAUAUUAAAAUAAUAAUGGCAUUAUUAUUAUUAUUACAACAACAACAGCAACAGCAGCAGCAAUAACAAUAAGAACAACAACAACAACAAUAAUAAUAAUAAAUGACCUACUUGAGGGCAAUAUUAGAGUAAGCUUUUAUAUGCAAAACCAUUUCGCAAUGAUGUAGACUCAUUUACAAUAUUAAAAAAAUUCAUAUUGCACUUUAAUAAAGUGUGAGAUCUCUCAUUAAAAAUGAACUAUAUAGAUAUAUAGGGUAGUAAUAUAGUUUAGAAUCUUGAAUCUUAUUAAAGUUUGAAAAAACUAUCAUGUCAAUCUUGACAAAAAUAAUGGUUUCCCUUGAAAGCCAUUCCAUAAAGAUCGCCUUUUCGUUUUCCACAUGUUAUCCAUAUGAUCUAUCUCUAGCGUUAUCCUCGCCACAUCCGUAUGAUCCAUUUCUCUUUCUUUCACUCACUUGUAUAUAUAAUUGAUACACAGAACAAGCUGUAUGUAGAUGCUCUUUGGUAUCCUUAAUUUUAAGGCAAAUGCCAAGUUACUUUUAACUGUAACUUAUGCCACACAUACAAAUCAUACGGGUUCCAUUAAUGUGUUACUGUCGUUGUGUGUUGCCUAAGUUACAGUUGAAUAUAAUUUAGGGGGUCCUAAUUUUAACUGUCUUUAUCUUAGUAUCAUAAGGUCCGUUCGAUGCAUCCUUCUACAAGUUCAAAGCGACGUUGGCACAAUUAUAAGAAUAAGAGUAAUGGUAAAGUUAAUCUAUCGAUGGCGUCAGGAAAAAGAAUAGAAUAAAUUAUUUAAUUUCCAACAGCUUAAUUUUGUCUCUCCGCGAAUAUAAUAAUCACAUUUAUUCUACUGCUUUUGUCCCCAUUGCUUAAUUUAUCCGCGAAUAUGAUAGUCACACGUUUUUAAAGUAAAGGCGAUUUUGGAAGAAGCCUGUACGGUUUGGGAAGAGGAUACUUCAAGGCCCUGGGCAGUGGGCACAACCAUACAUAAUAUAGAAAUUACACUUGAAAAAGGGUGAAUAAUUAAUUAAAGCAGCUGGUGCUUGCUACAACUGAUUGUAAAAGAGAGAAAAUCCGCCGCAUUACCUUCUGAGGAGGUCUCCUUGAUAUCCAAAAACGUGCUGUGCCUAGGCCCAAAGCCUUUUGCUAUUUUACCGAUUACUGCCCGUUGCAGGCCAAUCCUUGGUCACUCUCAUAAAUAAGGUUUUGUCUGGCCGCCAUAGUCAUUAAAACAUGAGUGAAAAUAAAUGGGAAAUUAUCAAUUUCUCGUCUGAUUGGUGAAAAUGCAAAACUAGUUGAAAAUUUUAAAACUUCUCAUUUUUCUUUUCUUUUUCACUAAAAAAAAAUAUGGGAUCUGACAGAGAAUUAUGUGUUGAUUGAUAUGAUCUAUUGUUAAAAAAAAAAGUUAUAAUUAUGAAAUAAAACUGUGCGAUAAAUAUUGUUUAAAAAUAAUAAAUUUAAUAAAAUAGUAAAGAUUUAUAGGUUUUAUCGUAUAGAUGUAAAAUUAAAUCAAACUUAACUUUCAAAUUAGAACAACAAGUAUUUACUAAAUAUUGUUAAAUAUGUAACUUAAAAACUACCACUACUCAACCGCAAUAACACAAGGCCUUGAUCUAAAUUAAUCCAAACAAAUUUCCAACUGUAACUAAAUAAAAAAAAAUCAUAUUAGAAGUAAAAAAAUCAACAUCUAUUUUUUAUUGAUUUUUUUUUCAAAUAUCAUGUUAUAUGAACAAAACACAUGCUUGACUUCUUUUUUUCAAUUAAACCUUGACCAGAAAGGCAAUUUAUUAAAUUAAAAAGCAGGGAACACUUAUGUAGGGGAUAUAAUAAACUAUAUCCCGCAAAAUAAUUAAAAACCUGAAACAGUGGAUCAAGAUCCUCUAAUCUUGAUAUGAGUAAAUUCUAUUAAUGUGAUUGAUGUUUAAUAAAUUCAAAAGAAAAAACAGUUAAAUUCUAAUCAUUCACUAAUACUAAAAGAUAGAAAACACAAGAUCUGUAAAAUAUCAGCAGUGCUCAGAUCAAAAGAGGAUUCUAAUCCAAAACAGUGAACCCUGAACAAUUUUUUGGUUUACCAGAUAACCAAAAAAAAUGAAAAAAAAAAAAAAAACCAUUUCUCCGUUAGCGUUAUUAUGAGAGACGAACUUGGAAGCUUCUGGAAGUUUAGAGUCCCAGCAAGUGAAAGGACCAGCUUAAGCCCGAAUGAGCUUUGCUGCCGCCACAGAGGCCACAGCCUCUGGAAAGAUGUAGCUAAUACGAAAAUUCAUUUGACUCACUAGAUGACAACAAUUAAACACGUGCUAGAUCGAAUGCGCGUGUGAACGGAGUUUUAAAUCACCAAGGUCUUUAACCAACAAUUAACACUUGUUGUUAAUCAAUAGAGUUUAUUAACACUUGUUGUUAAUUAAUAGAGUUGUGCUUUUGACACCUCUCUAAAGUUAAUCAGGAAUGCUUAGAUCAUAAGAAGAUCCUAAUCCAUUUAAAAUACACCUUACAACUGGAAGCUUUGAAAAUUAUGAUACUUUAAUUUAAUUCCCAAUCAACCCUUGAUAAAUAUUUCUACAUCUCUAAAGAACUAUCUACUUCCUAAUGUCUAUUGUAAUUAAAUGAUGAGGGCUGAUUUUGUUUUAUUUCUAUUUUCAGUAUCGCUUAGAGAAGGUCUGUUUGAUUUUCAUUUUAGGUGUGAAGCUAAAAGACCUAAGUCAUCUUGAAUUAAAUAUUCUUUUUUUUUAAAUGUUCUUUUAUCUCUCUUUUUCUAAAACCUAAGUCAUUCAAAAAAAAAAAUUGUAAAUUUCACCCAAUUUAGCCGAAAAAUUGCCAUUCUUACUGUACUGAUAAUUGAGGAGUGAACAACUUGCAUCUAUCAGCGGGAUUGCGGGAAAAAGAAAACCUAGAAAGUGAGUUUGCUCUUGAAGAGUUGUAAGUUUCUUCAAGGGUUACUUGUUGAAUAAAUGUCAGAUAAUUGUAAGCACCGAAAUUUUAAAACUCUUUUAAAUGGAUUUAUUUAGAAAAAGGGUUCAUAAGAGUUUUGCUGUUUUGGAGGGGGAGCUAACAGCUCGACUCCAUUCAAUAUUCGACGUUGUGUCUUGGCCGGAUGCGAUGAUUCAUUGAUUCCAUUGCAUCAAUCAAUUGUGCUAUUUUGCCUUAAAGCAAUUUCUAAUUUCUUUCUUGAUGUUGUACAACACUCUGAAAUACAUCAAUUUAUGCUUAAUUUUUUUAUCUCAUAAUCCAAAAUUUAAGGGUUCAUUUGAUUUACGAUUCAAAAAUAAUUUUUAAAAAUAAAAAAUGAAUUUAAAAAUGUGUUGAAGGUUUUAAUAUGUUCAUUUUUCUUUAUCAUUUAUAUUAAUGGCAACCUAAUCAUCUCCCCACCUAUGUGAGAGAGGUUCAAAUCGUAAACCCCUUUUUCUAAGAAAAGGGAUUCUACCAACCUAAAUAAAUGAUGCAAAUUUUAACAAGUUUAUAUAAUAUCCAAAAACGAUAAUUUGAACAACUGAAACAUGUUUAGCGUAAUUUCUAAUUAAAAAAAGAAAAAACAUGUUUAGUUGCUGUGAUUUUAAAGGUAAUUCUUAAUGAAGUAUUAAGUUUCAUAAAAUUACAGUCUUGUUUUCCUUUUAGAUAAUUGCAUUACAUCAAGGAGUAUCUUAGAACAAAAUAAAAAUGAAACAAGCUUCAUCAAGAUUUCAAUAUUUAUUAUCUUUAGCUUAGCUUCUAUUCUGUUAUGUUAAACUAAAAAAAGUAAUUAAAUUAAUGGUAUGGAGACUGAUUUACACAACACAAAUUGCCAACAACGUAUACUUUAAUUUGUAGUUAACAUGGAAAAUAUAUACUUCGAAACGGUAUGAUUACAAUAUUCAUUACCAUCAUGCCUCUUCUAGCUGUAUUUUAUGUGUGCCUACGUAGUGUACGGUCCAUCAUGUGCAAAUUUUAUCAAUUUGAAUCCCGCGGCUCCUGAUAAGAGACACUGCAUUCUAAUAAAAUAUGAAUCAUUGCUCACUUCAUAUAUGUGUAUGUGUGUGUUUGUGUCAAGAAUCACUGCGAAUAUAACAUGUGCAUUGGAAGAAAUCAUUAUCAUUAUGGAUUACAUAAUUUGGUAGUAAAUGAAUUCAUGAUUUAUGAUUAUUUUUUUAUUAUCAUAGUUCAGAAGAUGAUGAAUCCGUGAUUUAUGAUGACUUUUAAUAUAUUUAAUUAUUUUUCUUUUUAAGAUAGAGGGGUGUGCAAAGCCCAAAUUAAUUUUUAUGAUAUAUCUUACCAAAAAUUGUUAAAUUACUGAUAAUAGAGACAGAUUUAGAAUAGAAAUUGCCAAGACAAACAUAAAUGAUGAUUGAUUUCUUACUUUUAUGUUACUGAAUCUUUUGUAUAAGUUGGACCUUGAAGCCAUGUUAGACCUUGAAGCCAUUUAAUAGCAACAAGAAGACAGUGAAUUCAAUUGUUUUUUAAAUUCGCCGGAUGAAGCUGAAAUUUCCUUUUCUUUCUUGAUGAAUAAUACUUUGGACAUCGACUUUUAUUCUGAUCUAAAUUUUUACCAGCGCAUGUACAUGUUCGCGUCAGUUGUCAACAUAAUGCAAUCAACUUAACUGACUAUAAUGAGUAACAAUUAAAUGUAUUACACACAGUACGUUAAUAUUAUUUGUCACACCAAACCCAUCUUUUACAUAACAUGAUACAACACACCCAAAGGAAAAACUAUUGUAAGAACAAGUAAAAUAACUAUCAUGAAUUAGAGCUAAAAUACAUAUAAAGAUUGUCAUCGUAUCAUGCAUAAAACUUAGAUAUAAUGCGUCUACUUCUUCUUCUUCUUCUUCUUCUUCUUCCAAGGAAGCUUAUUCAUAAAUUCCAAGUAAUAGACCUUCCCACUAACCAAAAAAUCAGCACAAUAAGGAAACUCCAUGAGUGCUAAAACAAUCACUGGAAAGAUAGCAGCAGCAUAGAGAGCGGCGGUCCAUUUCUUCUCCAUACGAAUGAUGAGCAGAAGUGAAGCCGAGAAAGUAAUCAUGCUUGUUAGUACAGAAAAGAAGAGCAAAGUGAAGCCAACCAGCAAUUUGCGCGGAAGUUCUCUAAGGAAAUCAGAUGACUCACGUGGCGACGUGAGGAUAGAUAGGAACAUAACAACGGAUGACAAUGAUAAGGCCAAGGAGGCAACGUCCAUUACGGUAAAAACGUAGAAAAGUGGCGACUUAAGGAAAUGGGGAAACCCCUUAUCAUUGUUACCUCCAGGUAUCGUGAAGGCAGCUGUGAAGACGACGGUUGCGAUUAGGAUUGCCAGCACGGAGCAUGCCUGAGAGGUUUCUUUGAUCCAUUCUUGUGCUUUCCCAAGUUGAUCUUCAUGUGUUAUAUUGAAGAGGUCCCUUGCAGUCAUCUUAUUGUUUUCAUCGCGGUGCAUGGCAUAAUGGCGAGGCAUUAUCUCUUUUACACUCUGCAUUAUACACACACGUUAAAUAGGGACGGAGUCCUACAUACGCAUAGCCACAUGUGUAGUCAUUAUCUCUGUAACAUUUUAAAAUAUAGAUUCAAGGUUUUACUCAAUUGUAAAAAACUUCCAAGAGGGUUGUAAAAGGUUUAAACAAUUAAAGAAAAAAAAGUAUUUUAUAAAAUCAUAAAAUGGUGAAUCACUUGAGAAUGAAUAUACAUAUACAUCCAUACAUACGUGUAUAUAUAUAGGGGGAGAGAGAGAGUGAGAGAGAGAAAGAGAGAGAGAGAGAAUGUGAAAUAUGAACUAAAUAUACAGUCACGACAUGUCAUAUAUUGAGUCUGUAGUAGCACGACAUGUCCUCUGAUAAGCAUUUGGAACAAAACCGACAUGAGCCAAAAUGUCGUUCUUAGUUUAAGUAGCUCAUGUGUCUGCCAUCUGAGCUGAACAAGACUCUUACUCUCAGAAACGACUGAACCAGAAGCCGUUUUGAGCAUGCUUAUUAGAGACACGUUGCAAGCACGUGACUGAGGCUGAAUCUGUUAUGUUAGCGGGAAAAGCCGCUGAGGAAGGCAUCCAGAAUCAGUUAAUAACGAGCUGGAGUUCUGGGUUUUCACAACAGACUAGAAAACAGAGAGAGAGCAAGAAAGAGGGAAUGCGAGAGAGAGAGUUCUGAAUAGGCUUGUAAUCUCCAUUUGUGUUUGCUCUCUGUAAACUCUUGAACAAGCAAUAAAGUGAAAUCACAGAGUUUGUUUCCAGUGGAUGUAGGCAUCAUUCAUUUGGUGCUGAACCACUUUAAUUCGUGUGUGUUUUGUUCUUGAUCUAUUUGUUAUUCUUGAUUCUUAGUGAGUUGAUUUCUUCUUGGUUGGUUCUUGACUAUAAACCAGUGAGUUAAGUGGUCUUGGGGUGGGUUUAGUCUUGAUUGUUAGGGCUAAUAUCACAACAGAGAAGGGGGGAGAGAGUGAACUAAUUUGGUCGAAGAUCUAGGAUUUUAUUAAAGUCUAAGAAAACUAUUAAAUCACAUAGUAUAUAUCAGGGGAGAGAAGGGGAGAGAGAGCGCGCGGACAAGCUGAUAUUUAAUAAUAGAUCUCUUAAGUUAUUAAAAUAAAGGAUAAACUAAAUGACAAGUAAAAGUGCAAUGUAUUUUAUCCAUUAAUAUAUUAAUGUGUGUUGUUCUUGUCUUUUAAUUUAUCCCUUAUUUUGGUAGCCUAAAGAGAUCCUUCAUUGAAAAUAUAUAUAUAUAUAUGAAGAUACUUAGGUAUGGCGGCUACACAAAUUUUUGUGUGGAUUUUAGGCUUCACAACCAUAUGAAAGCUUUUCACAUUAUUAUAAAAAAUAUUUUACACUGUCCUAAAAUCCUAAAUCUGCAUGAAAAUUUAUGUGCACAAUGGUUUUAUAUAUAUAAGGCCGAAUAAUUACAUUUUAUGGGACAAAAUUAAAUAUUAUCAAAGGGCUUACCUCGAACAAUUGUAACUCCUCCUGAAAUUGGAGAACAGGGCCAGGGCGGGUUCCUUCUUUAUAAUGUUUCAUGUCUGCAACAUGGUGCAAUAAUGUGUAGCCUUUCUUGUCAAUUCUUGAAGCCCAUUUGGGCACAGACAGUCGCAUGUCCUUCAUGAUGAGUUCAAAGACUUUAUAUUGACGACGCUUUACGGACACAUGUAAUAUAUUCUGCUCUUUCUCAUUCAAGUUAUCUAACAAUAUUGCUUGAGGAUGUUGAUGGAUUAUCUCCUUCAAAAUCUCUGUUAUUCCAUUGCUUGCUGCAAAGAGUAAUGUCAACCUGAACGCCCAAUUCUUAUCUUUUUUAUAAUUAUGAACUGCUUUAUUAGUGCAAUCUUUCUUCACAAACAAUUCGACCAAUUCUCCAGCUGAAAAAUCAACAAAUUUUUUUGCCUUGAUCAUAUUUCCUUUGUUAGUGCAAUCUUUCUUCAGCAGCAAUUCGUCCAAUUCUCCUGCUGAAAAAUCAACAAGUUUUUUUGCCUUGAGCAUAUUUCCUUUGCCUAAUCCUAAGGAAAUUAUGGAAAUUUUAUCCGACGAAGUUGUGGAACUUUCUGGGUUCGGCGAGAAAAUUUCUAGGUUCUGCUCUCCAUCCCCAAGACAAGGGGUUUCUUUAACGAGCAUUUUGAGCAGUUUAUCCGCAUUUCUAUGCAUUUGCUUUUUCAUCCAGAUUUUCUUUAUACCGGGACAUCCUGGUCAUGCAUGCAUCAACACCUUGUUAAUUUAUAAACAAAAUUUCGCGCGGCAAGUACGGCAAAUCCACUCAUCAACUGAAUGAAUUGAUCAAGUUAUGUUACAUUUCCCCUGUUCUUUGUAUAAUUCAUAUAUGUAGAAGUAAUUAAUGGAAUUAUUAUUGAUCGCACCUUCAAUCACUUGCCUCCAAAUGCCAGUGUACAUCUUCCAAAUUGGAAUUCCUGCAUUUGGAUUAACUACUCAGCCGCAGUAUUACAACCUAUAUGUAUUAUACGAUAUGAAAGUUAAUGCUACUACAUAAAAAAGGAAACCGAUCGGAUCAAUUAAAAAGUUUUUUUUUUUUUUUGGGGGGGGGGGGGGGAAUAAAAUACCGUACGUCUCUGUAUCAAUUGGUAAUUAUGGUCCUUUUCAUAAGAAUUUCUACAAGUCCAUAGAAAUUAAAGAAAAAAGGAACUUAACCAACAAAGUGUUGGCUCCACUGGCAAUGGAGUCCCCUUAAGUGGCUUGACUGGGUUUGCUCCCCAGUUCGAGUCGCAGGGAAGUCGCCUUUGUUGGGAGAACCUGUGCCUCCCGGUUCGAGCGGGGACUUCUAGUCUGGGUUGUGGUACGGGCUUAAAGGUGUCUCCCACAGUUGGGGCCCUCCCCAGGAUACCUCGUGGAUAAGACCAAAAAAAGAAAAAAGGAACUUCAUCUUUUCCCCGUUUUAUUUAAGGUAUUUCACACUUCCCCCCUUAGUAUUUUCAAAAUUUGCAUACUGUUAUUGCGUCUAAAGGAUUCCACUUCACUGUAACGAUUCGUCAUUUAUAUCUAGUAUACUUUUGAGUUACACCAAAAAAAGAAAAAAAGAAAAAAUCGACGUCUAAAAAGAAAAACUAACUUUUAGUCUAAAAAGAAAAACUAACUUCUAUAUUAUAUUAUCUAGUACUUAUUUAGGUCUCAAAACUAAUAUUCUGUUUGGCUUCUAAGAGACAAUUGCUCUAAAAUGAAAGUUUUAGUUAUUAAUGGAAAAUUCGUGGGUGUUUGGUAAAGCUAAACCACUGGAUGUCAUAAAAGUUCUUUUUUUUUUAAUUCUCAUUUUGGAGUAAACUUAUCAAUAAAUAAUUGUGAAAAAUAACCAAUUUAAAAGGCUAACUGGGAAAGCGUUUACAAAUAUUAUGACUUGUAAUCGCAGCUAAAGCUGUUUGUUCGGAUUUUCAUUUUUCAAUUUAAAGAGUUAUAAUGAUUAAUGAAACCACUACAUGAUGAUUAAGGACAAAUUAAAGCUGCCUCAACACUACCUCUCGUCCGCUUUCUGCAGGCGACGCGAUUGUCAAUUUUACCAGUCUCCAAAUCUUCUUUGUAAUUGUAGUCAACGCAAUCGUCAUCAUCAUAUGUUGGAAGACCUGCAAUUAGAAAUUGCAAUUGUAACGGCAUGCACCGAAGUCAACUGGACUAUAUAUCCCCUUAGAGAUGGAACUAUAUAUAUGUGUAUAUAUAAUUAAUAUAUAAAAAAUGCUAAAGAAAUUGAAGGCUGAUAGAAUGUUAACAGGGAUAACGGUAUAUCAAGUCGGGCUUACUACACGGUAAUCUCGGCCAGAUGUACCCUUGUUUUUGUUGAAUUUUUCUUUCUUAAUAGUAAUUUUCCCAUGAAGGAUCUCUUAAGUUAUUAAGUUAAUUGCCAACAAAGUAACCCCGAACGGAUGUAUUUGCACUUCAUUAAUCAGCUUUAAUCUCUUUCAUAUGGUUUUUGUAUCCACGAAAGCAAGAAAUAAAUGAAUAUAUUCACGUACAAGAAGAGACAAGACUCGUCCAUAUCUCCGCGGUCUUCGAAUAACUCUUGAAAGCAGAUGGCAUUAGAGCUAGUAGUUGAAGACAUGUCAAGCCAUCAGGCCCAUCGGACGUUAGUUUGUUCGCAAGGCUUGAGUGGUGUUUAAGUAACCAAAUAGCAGUGUCUGUACGUAUUCAUGCAAGCAGAUUAAUUAAUUAGUUAAUUAAGAAGACAACUAAUAAAUUUUUAAACUUUAAUUUAACUCUUUUUUUUUUUUUUUAACAUAACCCAAAACCACCUAAAAUAGAUGUAAAUAAAAUUUAAUUUAACUAUUGAUCUAUAUAUGAAUGAAUGAAUGAAAGAGAGAUUUAAUUACUAUAUUUUACCGAAGUGUUGGCCAAGGACAGCCAUAUGAAGAACGGUCUUGCCAUCAUUUCUACGGAAAUGAUGACGUAAGUCACCAACUUGCUCAGUCCAGAUUUGCAACAGUUUAGUUUUCCCAAGAGCAGCAGCCCUGUAAACUGGGGUUUCCCCCAAACCGUUUUUAGCCUCAAGCAGAUUUUUGUACGCAUCACCAGACUGUCUGGAAAAGUCAAUCAAAAUCCUGGCCACGUCAAAAUUUUCGACGACGGCCGCUUCGUGAAGACCAUUGUUUCCAAACGCAUCUGUUUGCUUCAAGACUUCAAGUCUGGUCUCCGAUGUUAGACUUUCGAGAAAUUCCUGGAUCAGCUGAGGGUCUUCCAUGGCCGCUGCAAUGUGAAUUGCUCUGUCCCCGUUGACUGUCCUGUAAUCCAACAAGUCUUUAGCAGUUCGUUGAGCAAAGUACUGCAAGAAGCCUCGACAGUCUCCCUUCAAGGCCAUUCCAUAAGGAUCCAUUUUUUUUUUCUCUCUCUCUCUCUCUCUCUCACUCACUCACGCUAUUGUAUUGAAUAUAUAUAGGUUUAAUCAUUCUAGAAGUUCUAAACGAAGUUAUCAAAUUGGCACAAUCACUUUGCAUAUUAUAUUAGUAGGGCUCAAGCAUACUAAUUAUAAGAAUAGAAUAAAGGUGAAGUUAAUCUCUCGGGUCAGGCAGAAGAAUAGAAUAAAUUAUUUCCAACAGCUUUGCUGGUUCCUAUUCCUUUUUCUGCGAAUAUAAUAAUCACAUUUAUUCUACAACUUUUAUCUCCAUUGCUUUUUAAUUUCUGCGAAUGUAAUAAUCACAUUUAUUCUAAAGUGUUAAAAUACCUAAAAAUUUUGAAUUUAAAAAAAAAAUCAUCUUUUUUUCACCUUGGCGUUAAGAAAGUUGGAAUUUGUUAGGAAAUGUUUGCAAAAUGAUAAUUUUACUCUUGUAAUAUAAACAAUGUCGGAUUUGAACGUUUAAUUUCAGAAUAUUUUACCCUUAAAUAAUUUCUAAUUUCCUUCUUGCAUAUUUUUCGACAUCGUGAAAUACAUUAAGCUUAUUCUUCGAUUUUUAUUUCAUAAUGACAUAAUCCAAAAGUUUGACGAUUCAUUUGAUUUAUGAUUAUUCAAAAAUAUUUUUCAAAACUCAAAACAGAAUAUAAAAAAUUGAGUUGAAGUUCUAAUAUUAUCUGUUUAUUUUUAACAUUUAUCCAAUUCUCUACCCUGUUAGAGGGGUCGAAAAUUGACCAACUUAGAAAGCCAAACUGACAAGAUGUUUACAGCUGAGCUUUCAAAAAGCUAGCCAAAACAAAUACAGCCCAAGUACAAUCGGGAGUCGUAUGUGUAAGUGGGUUAUGACUUGUAACCGUAGCUAAAGUUGUUUGUUCGGGUUUUGAUUUUCGAAUUUAGCGUUAUAAAGAAGCCACUAUUUCAUGAUUAUGAUGAACAAAUUAAAGCUGCUCUUUCGCCAUUACUCUUCUCUGCCUGGCUGAUGCGAUUCUGCAAUCCUUCCUGUCUUCAAAUCUCUUUUAUAAUUGUGGUCAACGAUAUCCUCAUCCAGAUACGUUUGGAAGACCUGCGAGUAAAAAUGCAAUUGAAUUUAACUCUAUAUAUUUUAAGUCCUAAUGAUGUAGACCGGCAAGUAUUUUUUUUAUUUUAAAUUUCACUUCAUCAUAUAUAUGUAUAACUGCAAAUUAAAUAAUUAUUUCUCCUAAUUAACUUGCUUAUUGUUUCCAUUGCAAAGGCAUGCACCUAAGUCAACUGGACCAUAUAUCUCAUAAGAGAUGGAUACAUAACUAAUGUAUAAAAAAUGCUAAAGAAAAUGAAGGUGAAUAGAGCGUUGACAGAAAUAAUAGUAUAGUAAAUCGGGGUUUAUUAUUUUUAAUUAAUUGAUUUUUAAUUAAGUCUAAGUCGAUAAUCUUGGCCGGGUGUACCACUAUUUCUGUCAAAUUUUUCAAUCUCAUGCAUAUGUUUUUCAUAAGAGAACUGAUAUUCAGUCAAAAUACUAACAAAAAUAAAGUAAAUCCGGCCAGGUUUACAUGGUUAAAUGCCAACAUAGUAACCCUGUCAGCGUUUAAGUCUAUUUUAUCAUUUUUUUUCCUCCAUGAAAGGUAGUAAUUAGUUUAUAUAUCUACGUAUUAAGAAUGUAUGGACAAGACUCGUCCAUAUCUUCAUGCGCUUCGUACUCUUGAAGAUAAUAAUAAAUUUUUAUACUCUUGAUCUAUAAAGAAAUAAAUUCAUUAAUUUAUGUAUAUAAAUUCACCAUUAAUUACUCAUGAUCACCAGCGCGUUUCUAAAAUGCAGAUUGAAUGAGAGAUUUAAUUAUUAUUACCGAAGUGCUUGGCAAGGACAGCAAUAUGAAGAAUGGAGAUACUAUCCCAAAAAAUCUUCAGCUGUUAGUUGAGCAAAGUAAUCCAAGAAGCCAUCAUUACAUUCUCUCAUUAAGGCUAUUCCAUAAGAAUCUCCCUUCGUUAUCCUCAUCUCAUCCAUAAACAUAAGCGCCAUCUCGCUUCUCUCUCUCACUUGUAUAAUUGAUACACUGAACAAGCUGUGUUCUUCGAUUUCCUCAAGUUUAAUUGUCUCAAUAUAAGUUGGCAUAAUCACUUUGCUUAAUUUCUUAAUGAAGCUCAAGCAUUAUAAGAAUAAAAUAAAGAUAAAGUAUUUAACCUAUCGGGUUCAGAAUAGGAAUAGAACAAAUUAUUUCAACGAGUUUUGUCUGCAUUGCUUUUUCAUCGAAUAUACAUAAUAACCACCAAUUCACCAUAUUCUCAUAACGUAAAGGCGCUUGUGCUUUGCCUAAGCCCUAAGGUUUUUGCUAUUUUAUAAAGAAUUCAUGACCAUUAUGGAUUACAUUGAAACCACCUGCCCCGAUCAUAGGGAUGAGUCUAUUUAGUCUCAUCAAAUUGAAUAGAUAAUAAUCUAAUUAGCAGGGAUUUUGCUGAAAAUUUAAUAAAGUUUUCUUUAUAAAUAUAACACUUCGAACUUGUAAAUAUGUAAUACAAGUACUCCCAAAAUAAAUCAAUAUACAAGCAACUCCAAGGAUCAACAUUCUCAGUGAAAUACUGAAUUAUUACCUAAGAUAUCUCCAGAGUAUCGAAAGAUUAUAUUAGAACUAAUAUUAAUAUACAUUAGUUUAUUCUUAAUCCCAAAAGAAUAAUACAACAAAAUUUAUACAAUCUAAAAAGAAAAAGAUGAUUUGGAUGUCCUAACAAAAAAAUCAUCUAUAUUUUCUAAUACUAUCACGUGACUAAAACUUAAAAUAUAUCUACAGUCCUUGGGUCGAUUUGGUGUACCUGCAACCUCUUAUUGUGGGGGGGGGGGGGGGGGGAAGGGGGGAAUAUAAUAAAACGAAAUGAGUAUAAACUCAUUGAGCUCAGUGAGUGGAUAUUAGUUUUUUUUUGGAAAAUAAAUUUACUAAAAAAAAUAAUUUAAUGAACGAUCCCAUCAAAAUAUCAUAAGAACUUAAAUAAAUUUAUUUAAUUUAAAUCAUGCAUUGAUAUAACAAUAAUACAUAAUACUGCAUAAAAUCAAGGAAAUCAUAACACUUAUAAUAACAGAGAGUGAAUGUCGAAAUUAUGACUAAACAAUUACCCAUGAGAAAUAAUCUUGUCAUAGCCUAACCUCAACGGACGGGUAAUGAUGUACUAUCUAGAUACUAUCAUGCCCUCGGGCUACACGAAUAGACAGGGAGGUGCCACAUCAUAUCUCAUCAUAUCUGUACAUGCAUAAUCUAAUCCCCAAAGGAUAAAAACACCCAAGCACACAGCUCAAGACCUUUAUGUGUAUUUAGACGGGCCCCAAAAGCCUGUAUCUCAUCUGUAUCAACUGUAUUUGUAUUAUUGUUAUCAUCAUAUCACAUGCAUAUGCCCCCAAAAGGCAGAAGUUCCUCGAAAUAAAUUUUGUUCACGCAUUGAUAUUUUAUUAAAAUGUUUGGUUAAUGGUUUUUCGUAUUGAUUUUGAAUAAAUUAUGAUAGUAUUUUAAAGGCGAGAAAGGUGGAUUUAGAUGUGAUAAUGAAAAGAAAAUGGAUUUUAAGUAUGCUAAAUAGAGAAGAAACAAGAUUUAUAUUAUGCCAAAUUGCAGGACUUUUGCCAACUACUUGAAGAAUUUUUUCAGUGAAGCUCAACUAUAAAUAGAGCUUCAUUCAGAGAGAAAUAUGCAUCCCAAAAUUGUUAAGCUUAUAAGUUUCUAAGCUUUUGAGAGAAGUGAGAGAAGUAUGUCUGGGGAAUUUAUUUUUCUUGCAGAGUGUGAGAGUACUGGGUAUAUUUGGGUUUCUGGAAGUGAGAUUAGUUACUCAAAUAUUGUACUCUAUUAAUUGUUAAAUAAACAAUUAUUCUUUCUUGCCUUCGUGGAUGUAGGUUUAAUUACCAAACCACGUAAUUCUUGUGUCCUUUAUUUUUCUAUAAUUAUUUGGUGCACUUGAUUCCGCAUUUCGCGCACAACACUUUCCUAAGUUGAUCUUCAUGUGUUAGAUCGAAGAGGUCACUUGCAGUGAUGUUCUUUUUCUCGUCGCGGUGCAUGACAAAAUGGCGAGGCAUUAUCUCUUUUACACGCUGCAUACACACACACACACACAUAUAAUGCAUGGAGUCCAUCUGAAAAUAUAAUAUUAGAGUAUGCUUUUA